UAACAUGUGAUUCGGCGACGGGUCACGUGAUUGGCCUCGACCUCAGUUGCAGUUGGCUUCACGGCAACAUCCCUUCCAACAGUAGCCGUUUCUUUCUUUCUCGCCUGCGAAAGCUCAACCUGGCUUACAAUGAUUUCAAUUACUCUAAGAUUUCUUCUGGUUUUACUCAAUUUCCAAACAUGACACUCCGUAACCUCUCUUCCAGCUAUUUCAUGGGGUCAAUUCCUGCAUCGCUAGGUAACGAUAUUACACAACUUGCUUAUUUGGAUCUCUCAUUUAACAGUUUUAGUGGUCACAUUCCAUCAUCUUUUUCAAAUCUUCAGCAGCUUCGUCUUUUAGAUCUUCGGUACAAUAACUUUGUCGGUAAAAUUCCGGAUAUAUUUACCAACCUAACCCGACUUUCUUAUUUAGGCCUGGGAGGGAAUCAACUGAUUGGCUCGAUUCCAAGUUCAAUAUUUGAACUUUUGAAUUUGACAUUUGCAAUUUCAGUGGCAGCGUUGAGCUUUACGAUUUUGCAAAGCUCAAAAAACUUAAAGCUCUUUAUCUUUCUAAUAUUAGUUUAUCAAUGAGCACCAAAUUAACAGUCAACUCAUCUUUCCCUAAUCUUUCGGAGUUGGGUUUACGGGCUUGCAAUAUAAGUGAGUUUCCCAGUUGGAUGUGGGAUAUCGGAGUACAUACUUUAAUUUACCUAGAACUUUCACGAAACUUCCUGACAAACAUAGACCAUCUUCCGUGGAAAAAUCUGGAAUAUCUUCACCUUGAUUCGAACUUACUUCAAGGAUCACUUCUAAAUCUACCACCUCACAUGAGAGAGUUUUCAAUUUCCAGAAAUAAUUUGACUGGAGAGAUUCCUUCGUCAUUUUGUAAUUUGAGUUACAUUCGAUUUUUUGACUCAUCCAACAAUAGCUUGAGUGGACAAAUUCUACAGUGUCUUGGAAACUCUACACUUGAUACUUUGGAUCUCGGAAUGAACAACUUCCAAGGUAGCGUCCAACAGAUAUAUACAAAGGGUUGCAAAUUGGUUUAUCUUCGGCUGAGUGGCAAUCACUUGGAGGGACCAUUACCACCAUCUUUGAUUAACUGUGUCAAAUUGCACUUUCUUGAUGUUGGGAAUAACAACUUGAGCGGCCCAAUUCCAGAAUAUCUUGGAAACUCAACACUUGAAAUCUUAGAUAUGAGAAUGAACAAGUUUAGUGGCAGCCUCCCUCAAACAUUUGCAAAAAGUUGUGUUUUGGUAAGUCUUAACCUUAAUGGCAAUCGGUUGGAAGGACCUUUGCCUCCAUCUUUGGUUAAUUGUCGACAUUUGGAAGUUAUAGAUGUUGGGAACAAUCAGAUUAAUGAUACCUUUCCCCACUGGUUAGACGUUCUUCCUGAAUUGCAAGUCCUUACAUUGCGAUCUAAUAGAUUUCGUGGUCCCAUUGAUGAUACCAAAACAAGAGUUCCUUUCCCCAAGUUGCGAAUAAUUGAUCUCUCUUACAAUCGAUUCACUGGUGUUUUGCCAAUAUGGUAUCUGCAUGGUUUUAAAGUAUUGAAGUCAAUUAUAUGAGGUCGUUGAAUUAUUCUUACUAUGAAUCAAUAUCUUUGACUAUGAAAGGCAAUGACAUACAAAUGGAGAGGAUUUUAACCACUUUUGCAACUAUUGAUUUGUCGAGCAACAAAUUUCAAGGGGAAAUAUCAGUAGUGUUGGGAAAGCUUAAUUCACUCAAAAGUCUCAACAUUUCUCACGACAACCUGACAGGUGGUAUUCCAUCUUCGCUAGGAAAUCUGACACAGCUUGAAUCUCUAGACCUCUCUUCAAACAAGCUUGCUGGACGUAUCCCAACACAACUGGCGAGUCUCAAUUAUCUUUCGGUGUUGAAUCUUUCGAACAACCAGCUCGAGGGACCCAUACCAGGAGACCAGGAGGACCCCAGUUUAAUACAUUUGGAAAUGAUUCCUAUUCUGGUAACUCGGGGCUGUGUGGAUUCCCAUUAUCAAAAAGCUGCAGCAUUGAUGAGGCACCAGAACCACUAACACCAACAGGAUUUAUCGAAGGAGACGAUGCUUCAAGCUGGUUUGAUUGGAAGCUCGCUAAGUUGGGUUAUGCAUCUGGAGUGGUGAUCGGCUUGUCCAUCGGAUACAUGGCAUUUGUGACUGGAAGGCCACAAUGGUUUGUAAGAAUGAUCGAAAGGAAGCAAUCCAGGAAGCUAAGAAGGGUGAUCAGACGAGGCAGAGCAAGUAGAAGAAGUUUGUAGAUGCAUCUCUAAAGGCCCAGGUGAGUAAUUAUUAGUUUGUCUUUUGGAAUUAUAAGUUGGUUUCUAGUGUUCUUUAAGUAGAUAGCAUGCCGAUAUUAUCGUAAUCUAAUAGUUGACUUAGAAAAUCACGAUCCUAAUUAAUCUCAAAUUAUGCUUAUUAUCAACAUCUAUAGUGAGAAACAAAAUGAGGAUAAUGUAUAAGAAAGAAAAUUUUAACUGAAUUAUUGAUGCGAUUGUUUUCUUCAGGAAUUAUAAACUACCGGAAGCUAGCAUGGAAGUCAAAUAAUCCUCCAGGGGCUGAAAUUGUUUUUACUUUUAUUGCCAUUUCAUUAGAACAUGUCGUCAGGAACGUACAUUUUGAUGGUAAAAUGAUUUGAAGUAAUAUUUUUGCAGGAAAUUGUGUGGGGGUGUUGUUAUGGUUGAAUUAUACUUUUAUUAAUUUGAACAUCAAUAAUUAAUUGAAAAACAUUAUAAUUAGAUGAGAUUAAUGUUUAAUAAAAUCCAUCAUCAAAAAUGAAGAAGUCCUAAUUAAUGACUUUCAUUUUUUGAUCCUUCCAAUGAGUGCACAUAUAGCCGUGGAAAAGAAGCUUAAGUAUAUAGUCUGCAAUUUUACAAAACUGGCGACAAAUUAAUGCACCAACUAGACUCCAAAACAAGAUGACGAGUCACUUUUAGUAACAAGACUUGAUACUGUAAUUCUAAAAGUAUAAUAUUUAUUAUUACAAUUUUUUGUUAAAAGUGUUGUAUUUAAUUAGAUUCCCCUGUUUUGGUGUGAGUUAAAGAGAUGGCUACGAUAAGUUUUUUACUCUUGUAAGGGGGACUUGAAUAAAGUGCUCAUCAUCAUUGGCUUUGACAAAGAAAGACUUGUCCUAUAUAUCCCCCUUAAUUUGAACAAUCUUUCUUCAGCAACUUCCAACAUUUUUUUAUCCUUGCCAUGGGUUUCAUAGCCGUGGAAAAGAAAUUAAAGCAGUUUCGAAUUUUAUUAAAUUGGCCACAAAUUCAUGCAACUUUCAACCUUUUUUAUGCUUUCCAUUGGUUUCAUCGCGUGGAAAAGAAGUUGAAAUAGUUUGAAUUUUUUUUUAGUUGGCCUCAAACUCAUGACCUACUAAGUGCAAAAUUAUUUUAAUCUCAAAUCAAUGCACACAAGUCAAUAUGUGAUUUACUUGUGCCGUAGUACCUAUGAUAUUAUUCUAAAAUUAAGUUGGUACAAACUAUAAUCUCACUGCUCAUAAAUAAUUUCUCUAUAUUUCCUCGUAUAUUAUUUACAUACCCCAAAAUUUUCAAUAUUUUCAUCUCAAGUCUCUUGUUACAUACUGCUGUACCGUACAUCCGCCUUGGCCGUACAGCAGCCUACUAAAUUCCAAACAAUAUCAUGAGGCUCUCAAUAACAAGACCUGGAGCGCGCUCUAAGUCUAAAUGAACUAUAAUUAAUUAAGACUAUUCCGUCUUAAUUUCAAAAGGUAGUAUUGAUCAAGCUUUUGAAAUUACUAUUACAUGUUGAUGCGAGAUUCUGGUUGCCUCUCUACCAAGACCAGGACCUCUGCUCGACCAACUCUAUCACGACCAAGAUCUCUCCUCGUAAGGUUUCUUCUCCAGAAGUUCUUGCGUACACAGAAGCAGGUCAGAGUACGCCGGUUGUUUUCCCGGCGUAAACCCUCCGACGCUCAAGUCAGAUAUGAAGGUUCUGGGAAUGUUCGCCACGAAUCUUAUGGCUUCUCUCUAGUUUCUCUUCUUUAGAGCUUUCUUUUUCUCUCUUAUAAUGUCAAAUUUACUAACCCCUUUACCUUUGUUGGCUACCUUUUUAGAGGUUCUCCUGAAUCCAGGCCUUCCCCUCAUUUGCGCUCGUUAUCCUCCCACCUCUCGGACGUGGAUGCUCCAUUUCUGUAAUCGUGGGUGGUUGCGUAGCGUUAGUGCCUUGAUUCUCGGAUUGCAGAGCCCGCCUCACCAAUUGUCGUUGACCGGGUCUCCUCGACUAAAACCUUUAGCAGGAAUGCUCCAUGUUAUAGCAGGAGCCCAGCCUCGUGGAUGGCAUACUCGUGGAUGAGCAUAAUAUUCCUGCUCCUGUUCCUCGGCUACCAGAUAUCUGCUCAUCAUGUCUGGUCUCGUCGACGUACUUCUCCCAAACAUUACACAUAUUAAUUUGUAGUCUGAAUAAUUAAUAUUACACAUAUUACACAUAUUAACAACUUGCUUAACAAACUGAAACAGAGUCAAAACAGGGGAGGAAAAAUUAAUUGUUUUUUUUAAUGACUAACAAUGAUCUAGCUCGCUGUUACAUGAGCAUAUAUGACAAAUAACUUACAUCUCACUAAAGUAUCUUUUUACAUGAAAAAAUUACUAUCAAAAUGGUUACUAAUUGGAUACAGCUUCAGCUUUAGUCUGGUUUGUGGAAAUUGAAAAAUGCUCCAACUUGGAGGGCAGCAGUUCGAACCCCCACAAUGCAUUGUGGGGGUAUUGCCUUCCUCAAUUAAAUUUGAGUGAAAGCAGUCUUCUCUCUUACCCAAGAGUGAGGAGUAGACAUCCCUCGAAUAUUUGAGAGGGUUAAAAAUCUGGGCAGUGCUCCAUUAGCAUUGAUGUAAGUUGGUCUCAGUCAUAGUCUGAUUUGUAAAUAUCAGUUAUAUUCUCAUGUAAUAUGAGUUGUAGUCUGAGCAAUUGUCUCAUGUAAUCAAAAAAAAAAAGUCUACUUUAUAUGUAAAUAAAGGGGAUGAUCAAUAAAGAUAGCCCAUCACUGUUCAAUUACUUUCGAGCAUGUCAAUUGUUUCAUGAAGAGAAACUUCGAUUGCCUCUAAGGGUCUAGUCAAGUGAUUUAUAAGUAAUUUUAUUUGAUUAAUCACUUGAGUUUGAAUUUAAUAAAUAUGAGAGAAUAAUAUUUUAAUUGAAAUCCCCUCAUCCAAAAUUUUUUUUUUUCCUAAAAAGAAAUUAGCACUUUGCCAUAUAUGAGUAAAAAUUUUCAUUUCGUGGAAACAAAAAUAAUUAAUUUUGUGCAAAACGGAACCAAACUGCUGUUAAACUUAAAAUCAGUCUCAACGGUAAUGGCCAUCAUUCCCCGUCAAACACGUCGUCAAAUUCCAAAGCAAGACUUGGUACUGUAACCAAUAAGCAUUAUGUUAUUAAUUAAUUACACACCAUUCAACUUGUAUAAAUAGUCAUAUCUCUCUUCUUGCGAUUUCAUUAACCGGCAAAGGGAGGAAAAAAAAUGGGUUAUUUGACUCAGCCUUAUCAACUUGUGAUUUGCCUCCAGUUAUUGCUCUUGUAUUCUCAGUGUUCAGCAAUAAUUUGGUUAAUUGUACCAGUUUAAUGUUUAUGGAUGUUGGGAAUAACAACUUGAGCAGCCCAAUUCGACAACUUCUUAGAAACUCAACACUUAUUAGGGUCUUGGAUAUGAGAAUGAACGAAUUUGAGGCAGCAUCCCUCAAGUGUUUGCAAAGAGUUGUGACUUGAGAAGUCUAAAAACCUUAAUGGCAAUCAAUUAGAAGGACCAUUGUCUCCAUCUUUGAUUAACAGUCAAAUUUCAAAGUUUUUGAUAUUGGGAAUAAUCAUGUUAAUAAUACAUUUCCUCAUUGGUUAGAAAUUCUUCAUGAAUUGAAAGUGUUUAUAUUACGAUCUAACCAAUUUCGGAUCCAAUUGGUGAUAGCAAAAUAAGAGAAAAGGGAACUCUUGUUUUGGUACCCCGAAAUCGUUAGAUCGUAAUAUAAGCACUUGCAAUUUAUAAAGAAUUUCUCAUAAAAAAUAAAAGUAUCAACAUACUUAUUCCCAAAAUCAAAAACUUCCAAUUGCUGACAGUUAACCAAAGAUGAAGGCAAUGAUCCUCCCAAUUGAUUACCAUUAAUUUAAGACUUAUCAAAUCACAUCUGUUUGUAAACAUUCGAGGGAUGCGGCCAUUGAAUUUGUUCAUUAUCAUAUUCGAGAUCUUAAUAAGUAUUGAGUUUCCAAGACAUUGUGGAAUUGGGCUGCUCAAGUUGUUAUUUCCAAAAUUAAUAAACAUCAAACCGAUACAAUUAAGCAAAUAUGGUGGUAAUGGUCCCUCCAAGUGAUUGUUAUUCAGCUAAGCAUACAAAUUGUAGCCUUCUUCGCAUAUGUUUGUGGGAUUCUACCAUGAAUAUUCUUCAUUCUAACAUCUAAAUACCCUAGUGUAAAAUUUCGUAGACACUGUGGAAUUUUUCCCAUUGAAGAUAUUAUUCGACAUAGAUAUGGGAAAUGGGUCGGGUUGUAUGUGCAAGUAUGUUUUAGUAGGGUAUGUGGCAUGGUGUGCACACAAACAAACUGAAUUGGGCUGAGAAUUUUAAGCACAUGGUCCUUAAAAUCACGUCCUUCUCUAUAUACAACAAUGGAAAAUAUCAAAUAAUCCUGAAUCAAUUAAUUUCAGCAAUAAUGAUGUAGGAGGCGAUAUGGGCUUAAUUUGGGUGUACAUCUUCUAUUUUGUAAGUUGAAUUUGAAUGUGUAAUAUUACUGUUCUGAAACUCACAAUAAGAUAAUUGAUUAGGUGUAAAAAGAAGAUGGAUUGAAUAAUUGAAGUAACUUAGGUCCAAAAUCUCUGAACUUAUAUGAUCCUCGUUCAAAUGGCCCACUGCGUGCCACGUCAACAUGUGAAAACUCAUCCACAUCUCCAGCCUCAAUAUUCUUGCGACGUCAUCACUCAACAGGUUCCCACUGACGAUAAUUUGGACAAGAAAAACAUUUGAAUUAAUAGCCUUCACUCUUCACAGAGAAACCAAAAUGGCGCGAGCUUUGCUUCAUUUGAAUAGCACGGCCACGGCCAUACUAUUAAUAGCCUUCACUCAGUUUCAAAUGAAGAACCAAAACGCCCGCGUUUUGAUACUUCGAGGUACGGGUCGGGUCGGUGGAUCCACCGCCUUUGCUCUCUCGAAGCUCUGCCCCGACCUUCAGAUUGUUGUUGGCUCUGGAAAGAGGUGAAAUCAUUAAUACCCAUUUUAUUUCUUCUGUUUCGUUUCCGCAAAAAUGCAAGAAAUAAAGGAGGGAAAGUUUUCGAGCUUUGUCAUUUUCUGUUAUUUUUACGUUUACUAUGUUUCUUUGGUUAUUUUAAAACUUAAAUUCAAGGUGAUGUCUAAUGGUAAACUGCAAUGCUUUUACAUCUUUCUUAAAGCACAUUCCUAAACAGUCACUCAACUACAAGUGAUUAUCAUGUCCCGCAGUUGUAGAUUAAGGCUCAAUUUGGUAGUGCCAUUGUGCGGUCGUAGCAUUUCAAGACACGUCUAAUUUUAAAAGAGAGCUGCUGUGAAAUGAGAGCUUUAGUUAUGAAAUAUAUGUUUAUAGUGUUUGGUAAAUGUUACUUUUUAAUAAUAAUUUUGAGAAAAAUAGUAAACCUUAUACAAGUCAGGUAAUUGUGGGUAAAAUCGCUUUAAUUUUCAAAUUGCAGUUGCAAGUGUUUACCAAAUACUUUAGAAUUGUGAUUAGGUGGCAGUAAAAAAAGAGAACCUAAACAGUCCAUAAUAAUAUUGCCAAUGACGCAAAACUUGUAAUUCUUCUCUUUUUGGUUUUCCUAAACACUCGAAAGGCAAUAAUGUCUGUUUUUGUUGAUUGAUAUGCUCUGACUACGGUAUGUUAUUGUUUUAGAAUGUUGUCAAACAUGCUAGUUCUUGGAUGGAACUAUGGAGACAUGGAGUUGUGAAUUCAAAUAGCUAUGGCUGGAAUGUUUCCUAAUUUAGAGUGUUGCUGAGAAAAUUUUGCAUACCAGCAGGGAAAGGUGCUGCAACGGUGGCUACACUUGCAAAGAAUUCUGAAUUUGCGGAAGUUAAUUCUGACAAUGAAGGCUCACUAUUAAUGGCUUUUAGAGGUGCGAUCGUUCGUCUCAGACUAGAUAUGUAUUCUGUUGUUCCACAUCAAUAAUUCUUUUUCAUCCAGAUUUUUCUUUUUUUGGGAUAACAAACUGACUUUUAGUCUGGAGUUGAAGUAGAGGAAUUUUUUAGAAGCAGAAAUUCCGUUAUUAGACAAUAUUUUAAUGAUGCUUUAUUCUGUAUGUGAAAUGCUGUAACUUUGCUUCUGCUGAUGUGGAUCUUGUGGUUCAUGCAGCAGGGCCUUUUCAACAGGCACCGAAAUGCACUGUAAUGGAAGCUGCCAUAGAGACCAAGGUAAGGAAAGGUAAAUGUUGUGUUUGAUUAUCUCUUUUCCAAGUCCAGUUUUUAUGUUUUAUAUAUGUGAUGAUUGAAGCAUGUAUACAACUUUGCUAUGUAACCGAGAUGUCAUCUUAUGUGUUCUUUUUUUGUCUCCCAGCAGACAGCAUACAUUGAUGUUUGUGACGAUACAAGCUACUCUCAGCCUGCUAAGUCCUUCAAGGAUAAAGCAAUGGCUGCAAACAUUCCAGCCAUAACUUCAGGAGGAAUCUAUACAGUAGUGAGCAAUGGUGCUUUUAUGAACAUUCUUGUCCUGCAAUCUGUACUAGAAGUGCAGAAAAUUAAAUAUAUGAUUGAGUGAAGAAUAUGGAUAGAGCACAAAUUCUAUAAUUGAAACAUGUACAGUCUGCAAAUUCUUGCUUUAGAGCUAAAACAUCAUUGUUGGUGAUGCUUGGAUACAUGAUUAUUAUUGCCACUGGAAGACCAUAGUGUUUUGUAUGGGAUGAUUGGACGGAAGCAUCUGCUGCUCCAAGCUAUUAGUUUGUCUUAAUGUUGAUUGCCCGCUGAUUUUUAUAUAUUCUGAACUGCUAUUUGAAUUGUAUAUUAAUGUGAUGUGUUCUUUCUACAGUAAUUUUAGACUCAUGGAAGGUAGCAUUGGAAGCGAAGCAAUCCUCCUGGUGCAAAACUUGCCUUGCUUUAUUUCCAUAUCUUUAGAAUAUUUUACCACUUAUAUUUUAUUGGUAAUUAAAUUUAUAAAAAUUUUGAGGGUAAAAAUGACUUGAAAAUUAUUGAUGUAGGAAAUGGCCUGGGCUAACUUUGAUUUAGUGCAUCUUUGGGCUAUGAAUGUUGAAUUUGGGCGUAUGUUAUAUUGCUUGGAAGCCUGUAACAAGACGAAAUACAUUCAUUGUCAUUGUCCUUGUUUCCCAUGAGAUUAUUGCCAAAUUUCAAUGUUUUGGGACUGAAUAUCGCAUUUCCCCUAAGCAAUAAUUUAUGAAAUGACCUUGCACUUGUUUAAAUUGUAUGAAGCCUGUUUAUUAUCUCUCUUUGAAAAUAUUUUUAUUGAUUGUUGGAUAUUGAGAGAUCCAGUCAGAUGCGAUAGGCCACAUGUCACCUGAUUAUAGAUUGAUGUUUAAUAAAUUGGCCAAUUAUCAAGUAAAACAUGGCCUAUCAUGCACAAUAACGUGCACGAUGAUGCGCAUCUGAUCAUUCUUUUUGGAUAUCAAUUGAUCUAAGCCUACACAUAUUUACAGUAGACUACAAAGUGAAUGGAAGGUCUAUUCUAAGUCAACUUGCUUAAUAAACUAAAACAUAAUCAAAACAGAGGAGGGAAAAUGAACAGUGUGUCUAUGUAUGUCUAACUAGACUUUGGACCCUACGGAUCUAGUCCACUAACUUUCUAAUAACUUUAUUUGAUUCGCCAUUUGAUCACAAGGGAGGUAUGUGUUAGAACAUGUAUAUGAAUCCCGUCUAUUCCUCUACCUUCUAUAAAACAAAAAUAAUAAUAAGUAGAGUCUAGGUGGAGCCACAUUACCAUAUACGAUAGACAAUUAACAUUUCUCUUAUCUACAUAUCGUUUCAGCUCUAAUUUGGACUGGUUGGUGGAAAUUGGAAAAACUGGAAAAUGCUGCUUUUGAAUAAUCAAAGUCUACUAUAGACGCCAAGAAAGGAAACGAGUAAAAUACAAACAUCGUCUAUCAAUGUUUAUGCUUAAUGUAACGUUGCGUGUUGGCUGUAUUAAUAGAAAUCCUCCUCAUCUGCCAAUAGGCUCGUAGUCCGUUAACAGCACUCACGCUCUCAAAUCUUGAGAGCAAUUAAUUCGUGGGACUCACUUUUUUCUGUCAAUAUAAAUAGAGCAUAUGUCCCUAAAAAAUUUACGAAAUUAUCCAUCCGACUUUUAAAUUUACGAAAUUACUCAUUGCCCUUGACUAUCCAUCUAACUUUUACGAAAUUAUACCAUUUCAGGACCCAAAAUUGCAUUUGAAUUUAUUUUAAACUAUAGACAUUGAGAAACUUCUAAGAAUUGGAGUUUUCCAUGUAAAUCUUCUGUUGUGUGAUUGAUGAAUUCUCUAUUUAAUUUUUCUGUUAAUUUGUUGUUUGACAAAUUGCAUGGAGUGAUUUUAGAGGGAAGCUCAAUUUCCUAACAGAAUCUUACUUAGGGAGGGGAAAAAAUGUGAGUCUAGCUGGCUGUUACAUCUCUUUUCACAUACAUAAAUAAAUAUCAACAUUGUUAUUAAUUAGAUACAGUUUCGGCUUUGGUACUGGUUUCUGAAAAUUGGAAAAACUGGAAAAAUGGUCCUUUUGAAGAAUCAAAGUCCACUUUAAAUAAUAAUCCCCAUCAAUAUUUAAUGCUUGUUAUUGACUCUCAACCAGCGGCUGCUUUCAGAAAGAAAGACUUCAAUUGUCCCCAAGGGUCGAAAAGUAUUACAUGAUUGAUUAGGUUCCCCCCUUUACUUCCACUUCAUGGUAAUUUCUCUUCUUGUGAUUUCAUCAGGGAAAAAAAAGGGAAAAAAGAAAAGAAAAAAAAAUGGGUUAUAUCACUCAGCCUCAUCAACUUUUGAUUUGCCUCCAGUUAUUGAUCUUGUAUUAACGAGUCUAUAUAUCAUUCAAUUAACUAAACACACUUUGGAGAACAUACAACUGAAAUCAUUUUCACCCAAUGACCUAGCAAAAAGCUACUAUUCAGCAUAGAGAUUACACCCAUAUAUGGUAAACAAUUAAGAGUAAAUGGAAGGUCUAACAACUAAUUGAAAUUUUACAAAACUAGCGACAAAUGCACCAAUAAAUUAGACUCCAGAACAAGAUUAUGAGGAAAAAAGUAGAGAAGUUACGAAAGUUAGAGAUAAUAGGUAAUAAUCCAAUUAGAAAAGAUAAUUAAAAAUAUAUAAAUUGGAAAUAAUUAAUCCAGACAAAACAAUAAAAACACAAGACUUAGCUUAUAAUUUAGAAGAUAGAAAUGAAGAGUUGGUGCUCGAACUCUAAAUGUGUUAUAUUUAAUUAGAUUCCCCUCUAGUGCUGUGAGUAAAAGAGAUGGACAGAAAAAGUUAUUUUAACUUAUAAGGUGGACUUGACUAAAGUGUUCAUUAAUGACAUGACGUUGAGAAGGAAAGACUUAUUCUCUACAUACCUCUUAAUUUGGGCAAUCGUAUAUCAAUAAUUUUCAAUUUUUUUGAUUCAUCCCAUGGGUUUCAUUAUCAUAGCCGUGGAAAAAAAGUUGAAGUUGUUUGGAGUUUUGCAAAAUUGGCCACAAAUUCAUGCAUCGACUAGAUUCCAAAACAAUAUCAGGAGGCUCAGUAUAACAAAGGACUUGGUGCAUGCUCUAAAAGUCCAAAUGAAUUAUAACUAAGUAGAUUAUUUCAUCAUCAAAUCAAGACUUGGGACAAUAGAAGUAAAUAUCUAAAUGGUUAUUAAUUGGAUACAGCUUCAGCUUUUGGACUGGUUUGUGGAAAUUGAAAAAAUUUGAAAAGUGUUCCUCUUGAAGAAUCAAAGUCUACUUUAUACCUGAAUAAAGGGGAUGUCAAUAAAGAUAAUCCAUCAAUGUUCAGUUACAUUCGAGCGUGUUGACUACUUUCAGGAUGAAAGACUUCUAUUGUCCCAAGGAGUUUAAUCCACUGACCAACAUGAGAUUCCAAAUCAAGACUUGGUUCCCUAAGUCAAGAAGUAUCGAGAGGUCCACACGCAUUUCCGUGAGACCUCGCUGAGUUUUGCUAAGUCCAUACACACAGCUGCAAAACUCAAUACAAUCAUGCAAGUGAUUGUUUAUACAACUUUCAAAUGAAAUCAAUACAAUCAUGCAAGUGAAAUCAAUACAUACUGAAUAGCUUACCUCAGAAUCUUCACCUACUUACGCGAGAAUGUUUAGAACCUUUGAGGAUGCAAGGCCAGUUACACUCCCCUUAUGAACAAAUUCAGUGGCAGCCUUCCUCAAACGUUUGCAAAAAGUUGUGUUUUGACAAGUCUUAACUUUAAUCGCAAUCGUUUGCAAGGACCGAUGCCUCCAUCUUUGGUUAACUGUCGGCAUUAUAAGCUGGUUUAUGUAUUGUUCAUGGAGUAGAUAACUAACUGAUAUGUUUCAUAUUCUAACUGUUGAUUUACAAAAAUCACAGCCCUGAUUAAAUUCAAAUUAUGCUUAUAAUCAGCAUCUAUAGUCUAUAGAGAGAAAGAAAAUGAGGGUCAUAUAUAAGAAAUCACUGAUAGGAUGUGUUCUCUUGAUCAGGAAUUUUAGACUUUUGGAAGCUAGUAGUGGAAGUCAAAUAUUCUCCAGGUACCAAAAUAUGUUUUGCUUUCAUUUCCAUUGCAUAAGAACAUGAUACCACACGCUUACAUUUUGAUGGUUAACUUGAUCAAAAUUUUCAGGAAAAAAAAGUAUUUUAAAAAUAAUUUUGAUGUAGGAAAUGAUUUGGGAUGACAUUCAUUUGGUGCCAUUUAGGCCACAUUUUUUCAAUUGGGCGUAUGGUAUAUACUUUUUCAAAGCUGGUAACAAGAUGAACAAUGUUGCCCAUUUGCCUUUGACUCUGAUGUCCGUGGGGCAUUAACAAAAUUGUACCAUUUCAGGACUCUAAAUAGCAUUUGAAGUUAGUUCAGAUUCCAGCACUUCGGGAAACUUCUAAGAUUUGUACUUUACUACUUUUAUUUUCAUAACCAAUACUUAUGUUACUUCUGUCCGUUUGUACUUUUAAUUAAUUUCAGUUUAAACCUUAACCUUCUCCCAAUUUGUUUUCGGCUUAGCAGAGCAUAUUAACAGCCUAAAUAGACGAAAUUAUAUAUCAUUCAAUUAACUAAAACACUUAUUUGGCGAACAUUCAACUGAAAGAAUUUUCAACAAUAUUAGCCACUAGUUUUUUAACUUCUCGGAGAGGAAGUUGCUGCUUUCAAUAAAUUAAAGAUAGUCAUUUCACAGGCUGCUUAUUUGAAUUGGUAAACUAAGAUACGUAUUAUGCCUAACCAUUACAAACAUAGUCUAUCAAUGUUUUGGCUGUAUUAAUAGAAAUCCUCCGCACUCAUGCUCUCAAAUCUUGAGAGCAAUUAAUUCGUGGGACUCACAUUUUUCUGUCAGUAUAAUUAGAUAUGGGUAGAUUUUUUCUACUAAUAUAAAUAGAGUAUAUAUCCCUAACAAAUUUACUAAAUUAUCCAUCUGACUUUUAGGAAAUUAUACCAUUUCAGGGCCCAAAAUUUCAUUUGAAUUUAUUUUAAAUUACAGUCCUGAGGAAACUUCUAAGAUUUGUACUUUUAUUUUCAUAACAAAAUCUUAAGCUACUUCCAUUUGUUGCGUUUUUAAUUAAUUUCAGUUUACACCUUAAACUUCUCUGAAUUUCUUUUUUUUUUUUCAGCUUAGGAGAGCAUAUUAACGCCUACAUAAAAGAAGCUAUGUACCAUUAUAAAUAGAGUAAUAUUAGUACAAAAUUAAUUCAAACUAGAGAAAAAUAGAAAGCUCAAUGUUGACUUAGGAAAAGGGUUUAAGAUCUAUAUUGAGUAUUGAUCAAGCAAUUUCAGCAUAGAGAUUACACACAUAAAUAGUAAACAAUUAAGAGUAAAUGGAAGGUCUAGCAUCUAAUUGGAAUUUUACCAAACUAGCGACAAAUGCACCAAUAAACUAGACUCCAGAACAAGAUUACGAGGAAAAAAGUAGAAAGUUAGAAAAAUUAGAGAUAAUAGGUAAUAAUCCAAUUAGAAAAGAUAAUAAAGAAGUAUAUAAAUUAGAAAUAAUUAACCUAAAUAUAACAACAAAGACACAAGACUUAGCUCAUAAUUUAGAAGAUAGAGGUGAAGACUUGGUGCUCUGACUCUAAAUGUGUUCUAUUUAAUUAGAUUCCCCUCUAGUGGUGUGAUUAAAAGAGAUGGAUAGAAAAGGUUAUUUUGACUUAUGAGGUGGACUUGACUAAAGUAUUCAUUAAUGACAUGACGUUGAGAAGGAAAGACUUAUUCUCUACAUACCUUUUAAUUUGGGCAAUCCUACAUCAGUAACUUUCAACUUUUUUUUAUUCUUCCCAUGGGUUUCAUUAUCAUAGCCGUGGAUAAAAACUUGAAGUUGUUUGGAGUUUUGCAAAAUUGGCCACAAAUUCAUGCAUCAACUAGAUUCCAAAACAAUAUCAUGAGGCUCAGUAUAACAAAGGACUUGGUGCGUGCUCUAAAAGUCCAAAUGAAUUAUAAUUAAUUAGAUUAUUUCAUCCUCAAUUUUAAAUGUUAGUAUUGAUCAAUCUUAUAAGUAGAUUACACAUAUUAACUUGCAGUUAACAAAUUAAGAAGUUAAUGGAUGGUCGAACAACCUGCUUAACAAAUCGAAACAAAGGAGGGAAAAAUAUGAGUCUAGCUGGCUGUUACAUCUCUUUUUACAUACAUAAAUAAAUAUCAAAAUUAUUAAUAAUUGGAUGCAGCUUCAGCUUUGGUACUGGUUUGUGAAAAUUGGAAAAACUGGAAAAUUGAUAGCUCUUUCUCCUUUUGAAGAAUCAAAGUCUACUUUAAAUAAUAAUCCCCAUCAAUAUUUAAUGCUUCUUAUUGACUUUCAACCAGCGGCCGCUUUCAGAAAGAAAGACUUCAAUCGAAAAGUAAAUAGAUUCCCUCCUUUACUUCCACUUCAUGAGUUACAACUAACCAUUUCACUUCUAUAUAUGUUAAUUUCUCUUCUUGUGAUUUCAUCAGGAGAAAAAAAGGAAAAAAAGAACAGAAAAGAAAAGAAAAUGGGAUAUAUCGCUCAGCCUUAUCAACUUUUGAUUUGCCUCCAGUUAUUGUUCUUGUAUUAACGUGGCUGUAUAUCAUGCAAUUAACUAAGCACGUUUUGGAGAACAUACAACUGAAAUCAUUUUCAUAUCGCAAUGUUGAUCUCUGGGCUAAUCAAGCAUUUACCUUUCCUAAUACAAUUUAUCACAAAACGAUUAUCCAUCUUCAUAUUUGAGGUUCAGUAGUAAGAAAGAGCAGGCACCUUCCAAAUGUAUGCACCUUUUUUAGUUUAUCCCACAAAACUUUAUCACAAAACAAUGGCCUUUUCAUACUUUCGGUUACUGCUCAAUCCCUUUACAAAAAAAGUAUGCACAUUUACAAGGGAUAGAAGAUUUUAGUUUGACUUUGAUAUGACCAUAAAUACUAUUGAAAUUAGAAACUUUAUAAGUUCACAAAAUAAAUAUUGUAAAUUUAAGGGAGCUAGAUCAUAAGCUUUAGAAAUAAAUAGAUUCAAUUUUAGUUUAUACCUUUAUCAGGUAAUCCAAUUUUCCAAUUUUCAAACCAACAUUUAGUUUUAAUUUUUUUAUUAAAUUUCUUUAGAAAAUACUCAACUAAAUACUAUUUAUAGUUAAAUAUUAGUUUCAAUGAACACUUUCAUAGAUGAUUUUGUAAGCAAUUUAUUUGGUUAGUUAACGGUUGUAAUAUUUGAUAAUGAGAAUAACUAAUUUUAAAAAAUUCUAAUGGUUAGCGUAUUAAAAGUGUGUUUGGAACAUAGCAUUGCAUGGUAUUAUAAUGCUAUUCACAUUAAUUUAUUGCUAACCUAUGUUUGGUAAUAUUAGAAGCUACAUUGUGGUGCAUAAAACACUAUUAUUGAAACACUAGGGCCAGUUUUUCAUUUAACUACAAACUUACUUCUAUUGAAACCCAUAAAACAAUUUUUAUAUUAAUUAAUUAUAUCACGUCUUCAACUAUUAUUAAAUUCUUAUUCAAGUUCAUUAUUUAAGUGGUAAAUGUGUUAUCUAAAUAAUCUCAUGUAAUGUAUUAAACAAAUAAUUUGAGGAACAAAGUUCAUUAUGUCUCCUCUUAUUAGAUGUAUCUUUAAUUUGUUAUUAAAAAAAUCUCUCAUAUUCAAUUAAAAAAAUAAAUUCAGUCACCAAAAGAAAAAAAAAAAAAGGUUGUUAUCUUCGCGGCUGAACGGGGCUAAAAAAGAACGAAAGCUCGAAACAGAGCUCAAUUUCAAACGCCAGCAUUUUGGUGCAGCCAUUGCUCAAGAGUUUUUUUGAUUUUAUAUGCCACAAUACUUGCCUAAUUUCCAAAUAUAUCCCCUCCCUUCCAUUUAUUCACUUAUAUGACAAAUUCACCCGCAUAAAGAUUGAAAUACUCACAUUUGUGAAUUACAAGUUGCACAAUUUUUAUUUUAUUUUGUACACAACAUCGCUCACUGGCACCGCCGAGGCCUGCAGUGAUCAAUUUCGUCGUCAUCAUCAUCAUUGGCUACACUCUAAUUACUAACAUAAGCACAGUUCAAUAUCAAGUUCAUUUACCUGUUCUUUACCAUCUCCAAAAUUUUCCUCUCAUUUUUAUUUCACUUUCUCAACUUCAAAAUUCGCCUGCAUAAAGAUUUCUGAUUUGGAAUUGAAAUUGUAGCUCUAUACCUCUUGAUCCCUCCAAAGAGUUUCGCGGCUGUGGAAAAUGUAGAAGUACUAGUUUGAAAUUUUAUAAAUUUAUUCAAAAAAACCACAGUCCAAUCGAUUCCAAAACUAGAUUAUAAGGCCAACCAAUAAGACUUGGUGCUCAAAGCCUAAAAGUACUACAAAGACUUGGUGCCUCCCUUAAAUUCACUUCAUACUUGCACAUCAUUUUUCUUCUACAUAUAGUCAUAUCUGUUCUUGUGAUUUCAUUGAGAAAAAAGAUAAUAUGGACUAUUUAACUCAUCCUUUUCAACUUUUGAUCUGCAUCCGGUUAUUGCUCUUUUAUUUUCAGUUUUCUGCAAAUUAAUUAGCAACAUACGAGUAAUAUACUCUAAUUUGGACACAGCUUGCUUCUUCUAGAUAAUUAAACAUGGAAUUGGACACAGCUUCUGCUGAUUCCUUUUGGACGGGGUUUGUGGAAUAGAAAAAAAUAUUUGUUCCUUGUAAGAGGGACUUGACUAAAGCCCUCAUUAAUUAUUAAUGUGAUUUGAGAAAGAAAGACUUGUUCUGUGUAUACCUAUUAAUUUGGGCAAUUUUACAUCAGUAACUUUCAACUUUUUGAUCACUCCAUUUGUUUCAUAACUGUGGAAAAGAAAUUCAAGUAGUUUGGAAUUUUACAAAACAAUACCGUGAGGCUCAGUAUAACAAAAUUAACCCGAUUUGGUGCAUGCUCUAAGUCUAAAUGAAUUAUAAUUAAUUAACACUAUUCCUUCCGAUGCCUAACAAUUAUAAAUAGAGUAACAUUAGAACAAAAUUAUUUCAAACUAGAGAAAAAGAUAACAUAUUAAUAGAGCCUAACUGUGGAAUGCUCAAUGUUGAUUUGGGGUAAGGGUUUGAGAUCUAUAUUGAGUAUUGAUCAAGUAAUGACAAACGCAUUUAUACUAAACAAUUAAGAGUAAAUGGAAAGUCUAACAAGUAAUUGGAAUUUUACAAAACUGACGACAAAUGCACCAAUAAACUAGACUUCAGAACAAGAUUAUGAGGAAAAAAGUAGAAAAGUUAGAAAAAUUAGAGAUAAGAGGUAAUAAUCCAAUUAGAAAAGAUAAUUAAAAAAUACAUAAAUUAGAAAUAAUUAAUUCAGACAUAACAAUAAAAACAGAAGACUUAGCUUAUAUUUUAGAAUAUAUAAAUGAAGACUUGAUUCUCUUACUCUAAAGGUGUCUAUGUAAUUAGACUCUCUUCUAGUGGUGUGAGUAAAAGAGAUGGGUAGAAAAGUUAUUUUAAGUUAUAAGGUGGACUUGAGUAAAGUGUUCAUUAAUGACAUGACGUUGAGAAAGAAAGACUUAUUCUAUAUGUAACUCUUAAUUUGGGCAAUCGUACGUCAAUAAUUUCAACUUUUUUUAUCCCUCCCACAGGUUUCAUUAUCUUAGCUGUGGAAAAAAGGUUGAAGUUGUUUGGAGUUUUGCAAAAUUGGCCACAAAUACAUGCACCAACUAGAUUCCGCAACAAUAUAAUGAGGCUCAGUAUACAAAAGGCUUGGUGCAUGCUCUAAAAGUCCAAAUGAAUUAUAAUUAAUUACACAUAUUAAUUUGUAGUAAACUAAUUAAGAAGUAAAUGGAUGGUCUAACAACCUGCUUAACAGAUCGAAACAGAAUCAAAACAGAGGAGGGAAAAUGGAUUGAGUUUGUGUAUUCGACAAAUUAAGCCUACUUUUUACAUACAUUAAUUGGAUAUAGCUUCAGCUUUGGUACUGGUUUGUGAAAAUUGGAAAAACUGGAAAAUGCUCCUUUUGAAGAAUCAAAGUCUACUUUAAACAAUAAUCUCCAUCAACAUUUAAUGCUUGUUAUUGGCUUUCAACCAGCGGCCGCUUUCAGAAAGGAAGACUUCAAUUGUCCCCAAGGGUCGAGGUGGUCAUAAAUUACAACAAACCAUUUCACUUCUAUAUAUAGUAAUUUCUCUCCUCGUGAUUUCAUCAGGAGAAAAAAAGGAAAGACAAGAAAAGAAAAUGGGUUAUAUCACUCAACCUCAUCAACUUUGGAUUUGCCUCCAGUUAUUGUUCUUGUAUUAACGAGGCUAUGUAUCAUUCAAUUAACUAAACACAUUUUGUUGAACAUACACAACUGAAAUUUAGUUUUUAAUUCAUAAGCUUUACAAAUAAGUAGAUUCAAUUUUAGUUUGUACCUUUAUCAGGUAAUCCAAUUUUCCAAUUUUCAAACCAAAAUUUAGUUUUUAAUUUUUUGAUUAAAUUUCUUUAGAAAAUACUCAACUAAAUACUGUUUAUAGUUAAGUAUUAAUUUGAAUGAACAUCAUAUAUGAUUGUGUAAGCAAUUUAUUUGGUUAAUUAAUGGUUGUAAUCUUUAAAAAUGAGAAUUACUAAUUUUAAAAAAUUCCAAUGGUUACUGUAUUAAAAGUAUGUUUGGAACAUAGGAAUGCAUAGUAUUAUAAUACUAUUCACAUUAAUUUAUUGCUAACCUAUGUUUGGUAAUUUUAGAAGCCACAUUGUGGUGCAUAUGCACCGGAAUGUGCCAACUGUUGCCUCAAUUGAGAUGUUAAAUAUAUUCUAAUUAUCAUUUAAUAAUAAAUAAAAUAAAAUAGAAGUUAAAUUAUAAUGUUUUUAUUUAAUAACACAAUAUUGCAUUAUAUUUGUACAUUAGUAAUUAAUAUAAAAUAAUAAUUUAUAUAAUUAUUAGUAAAGUAAUAAUAAAUCUAAAUAAUAUUAAUUUACUAUUAGUACAAAAUUAAUAAAUUACAAUCUAACACUAAAUAUUAUACAAUAUUAUUAUAAUACAAUGCCAAUUCAAUAUCUUAUAAAGUGCAUUAAAAGACAUAAUACGGUAUAAGUGAAGAGUAAUGGAUUUUAGUUUGCAUUAACGUAUACGGUCAAAGACAAAACUAUCCACGUCCCCAGACCCAUAGUGGCGCCACAUCAUCACUCAUUGUAAACUGAAAAGAAAAUUUUUGAUAAGAAAACAGUUGAAUAAUUGAAUUUCGAGUCUUUGGUGACAUUAUCCUUUUAUAGUAAAUAUAUCUUUGAGUUAAACAGUUAAUUUUUCAUUUAACUACAAAAUUACUUUUAUUGGAACCCAUAAAAUAAAUGAAUGUGGAGAAAAUUGUAGUGAAGUAAUUAAGAAGUAAAUGGAAGGUCUAACAGCUUGCUAAGAAGCUGAAAUAGAAUCAAAACAGAGAAGGGAAAAUGAAUUUUGUCUGUGUAAUGUGUCCGUUUAAUGUCAGUUUGAACCAUGAGUUUCAUAGCCGUGGAAAAGAAAUUGAAGUAGUUUGAAAUUUUACUAAAUUGACCACAAAUUCAUGCACCUACUAGAUUCCAAAACCAUAUCGUGAGGCUCCCAGUUUAACAAGACUUGGUGCAUGCUCUAAGCCUAAAUGAAUUAUAAUUAAUUAAGAUACUCCUCCUCAAAAAGUAGUAUUGAUGAAGCUUACAGUUAGAUUACACAUAUUAAUUUAUAGUCAACUAAUGGAAGGUCUAACAACUUAGCUUAACAAACUGUAACAGAGUCAAAACAGGGGAGGGAAGAUGAAUUGUGUUUGUGUAAAAGACUGUCAGUCUAGCAAAUAUGAUAGAUAACUAACAUCUCGCUGAACUUUAAGUAAAUAUCUAAAUGGUUAUUAAUUGGAUACAGCUUCAGCUUUUGGACUGGUUUGUGGAAAUUGAAAAUGUUUGAAAAGUGUUCCUCUUGAAGAAUCAAAGUCUACAUUAUACGUAAAGAAAGGGGAUGUCAGUAAAGAUAAUCCAUCAAUGUUCAAUUACAUUCGAGCGUGUUGACUACUUUCAGGAUGAAAGACUUCUAUUGUCCCAAGGAGUUUAAUCGAGUGAUUUGCAUCCUAACUAUUUCAUGAAGAACUCAUGUCGAUAGUUAUAGAACAACCUUCUACAUAGAGAAAUUCUACUAAAAAUAAACAACUAUUUACUAUCAUGACAAGUGCAAAAUUAUUUUAAUCUCAAAUCAAUGCACACAAGUCAAUAUGUGAUUUACUUGUGCCGUAGUACCUAUGAUAUUAUUCUAAAAUUAAGUUGGUACAAACUAUAAUCUCACUGCUCAUAAAUAAUUUCUCUAUAUUUCCUCGUAUAUUAUUUACAUACCCCAAAAUUUUCAAUAUUUUCAUCUCAAGUCUCUUGUUACAUAUCCUUUUUUUUUUAUUGCAUUUCUCAAUUUAUUCAUAGUAUUUACUUUAAGAUAACUUAAUACGUAAGUUGAUAAAUUUUUAGCAGAGAAUUUGAGAAAUUUAACAUCGUAAUGACCAUUUAAUCCAUGUGUGUGGAAUCUACGUACAGAUAUUAAUACUAUAUCAACGCACAUGGAAAAUGCGCCUUUUGAAGAAUGCAGUAAAUGGAAGGUCUAACAUCUUUCUUAACAAUCCGAAAUAGACUUCGUGCAUGCUGUAAAUUUAAAUGAAUCAUAAUUAAUUUCAAAAGGUAGUAAAUGGAAGGCCGAACAACUUUUUUAACAAACUGAAACAGAAUUAAAGCAGAGGAGGGAAAAUCAAGAUGAGUAGGAUUCCACUUACCACCUAAAUUCCAAAGCAAGAAGACUUGGUGCUGUAAGUCAAUAAAUAUUAUAUUAUUAAUUAAUUACACACCAUAUUCAACUUCUAUAAAUAAUAGUCAUUAAUUAUAUCUCUCUCUCUUCUUGUGAUUUCAUCAUCCAGCAAAAGAAAAAGAAAAAGAAAAAGAAAAAGAAAAUGGGUUAUAUCACUCAGCCUUACCAAGUUUUUAUUUGCCUCCUGUUAUUCCUCUUCUAUUCUCAGUGUUCAGCAAUACUUUGCUCUCACCACCAAAGUUCUGCUUUACUCCAAUUUAAGCAGCUCUUUUCCUUUGAAAAAGAUUCUUCAUUCGAUUGUGAAAUAUUUCAACAAAUAUCUCGUCCAAAGAUGAUGUCUUGGAAAGAGGACGCUGAUUGCUGCUCCUGGGAUGGAGUAACAUGUGAUUCGGCGACGGGUCACGUGAUUGGCCUCGACCUCAGUUGCAGUUGGCUUCACGGCAACAUCCCUUCCAACAGUAGCCUUUCCUUGCUUCCUCGCCUCCGAAAGCUCAACCUACCCUUCAAUGAUUUCAAUUACUCUGAGAUUUCCUCUGGUUUUACUGCUCAAUUUCCGAGUUUGACAAUCCUUAACCUCACUCGGAGCAAUUUCACGGGGUCAAUUCCUCCCUCACUAGGUAACAAUAUUACACAACUUGCUUACUUGGAUCUCUCAUCUAACAGUUUUAGUGGUCAGAUUCCAUCAUCUUUUUCAAAUCUUCAGCAGCUUCGUCAUUUAGAUCUUCGGUUCAAUAGCUUUGUGGGUAAAAUUCCUGCAUCACUAGGUAACAAUAUUACACAACUUGCUUAUUUGGAUCUCUCAUCUAAUAGUUUUAGUGGUCAGAUUCCAUCAUCUUUUUCAAAUCUUCAGCAGCUUCAUCAUUUAGAUCUUCAGUUUAAUAGCUUUGUUGGUAAAAUUCCUGCAUCACUAGCUAACAAUAUUACACAACUUGCUUAUUUGGAUCUCUCAUCUAAUAGUUUUAGUGGUCAGAUUCCAUCAUCUUUUUCAAAUCUUCAGCAGCUUCAUCAUUUAGAUCUUCAGUUUAAUAGCUUUGUUGGUAAAAUUCCUGCAUCACUAGCUAACAAUAUUACACAACUUGCUUAUUUGGAUCUCUCAUCUAAUAGUUUUAGUGGUCAGAUUCCAUCAUCUUUUUCAAAUCUUCAGCAGCUUCAUCAUUUAGAUCUUCAGUUUAAUAGCUUUGUUGGUAAAAUUCCUGCAUCACUAGCUAACAAUAUUACACAACUUGCUUAUUUGGAUCUCUCAUCUAAUAGUUUUAGUGGUCAGAUUCCAUCAUCUUUUUCAAAUCUUCAGCAGCUUCGUCAUUUAGAUCUUCGGUUCAAUAGCUUUGUGGGUAAAAUUCCUGCAUCACUAGGUAACAAUAUUACACAACUUGCUUAUUUGGAUCUCUCAUCUAAUAGUUUUAGUGGUCAGAUUCCAUCAUCUUUUUCAAAUCUUCAGCAGCUUCAUCAUUUAGAUCUUCAGUUUAAUAGCUUUGUUGGUAAAAUUCCUGCAUCACUAGCUAACAAUAUUACACAACUUGCUUAUUUGGAUCUCUCAUCUAAUAGUUUUAGUGGUCAGAUUCCAUCAUCUUUUUCAAAUCUUCAGCAGCUUCAUCAUUUAGAUCUUCAGUUUAAUAGCUUUGUUGGUAAAAUUCCUGCAUCACUAGCUAACAAUAUUACACAACUUGCUUAUUUGGAUCUCUCAUCUAAUAGUUUUAGUGGUCAGAUUCCAUCAUCUUUUUCAAAUCUUCAGCAGCUUCAUCAUUUAGAUCUUCAGUUUAAUAGCUUUGUUGGUAAAAUUCCUGCAUCACUAGCUAACAAUAUUACACAACUUGCUUAUUUGGAUCUCUCAUCUAAUAGUUUUAGUGGUCAGAUUCCAUCAUCUUUUUCAAAUCUUCAGCAGCUUCGUCAUUUAGAUCUUCGGUUCAAUAGCUUUGUGGGUAAAAUUCCUGCAUCACUAGGUAACAAUAUUACACAACUUGCUUAUUUGGAUCUCUCAUCUAAUAGUUUUAGUGGUCAGAUUCCAUCAUCUUUUUCAAAUCUUCAGCAGCUUCAUCAUUUAGAUCUUCAGUUUAAUAGCUUUGUUGGUAAAAUUCCUGCAUCACUAGCUAACAAUAUUACACAACUUGCUUAUUUGGAUCUCUCAUCUAAUAGUUUUAGUGGUCAGAUUCCAUCAUCUUUUUCAAAUCUUCAGCAGCUUCAUCAUUUAGAUCUUCAGUUUAAUAGCUUUGUUGGUAAAAUUCCUGCAUCACUAGCUAACAAUAUUACACAACUUGCUUAUUUGGAUCUCUCAUCUAAUAGUUUUAGUGGUCAGAUUCCAUCAUCUUUUUCAAAUCUUCAGCAGCUUCAUCAUUUAGAUCUUCAGUUUAAUAGCUUUGUUGGUAAAAUUCCUGCAUCACUAGCUAACAAUAUUACACAACUUGCUUAUUUGGAUCUCUCAUCUAAUAGUUUUAGUGGUCAGAUUCCAUCAUCUUUUUCAAAUCUUCAGCAGCUUCGUCAUUUAGAUCUUCGGUUCAAUAGCUUUGUGGGUAAAAUUCCUGCAUCACUAGGUAACAAUAUUACACAACUUGCUUAUUUGGAUCUCUCAUCUAAUAGUUUUAGUGGUCAGAUUCCAUCAUCUUUUUCAAAUCUUCAGCAGCUUCAUCAUUUAGAUCUUCAGUUUAAUAGCUUUGUUGGUAAAAUUCCUGCAUCACUAGCUAACAAUAUUACACAACUUGCUUAUUUGGAUCUCUCAUCUAAUAGUUUUAGUGGUCAGAUUCCAUCAUCUUUUUCAAAUCUUCAGCAGCUUCAUCAUUUAGAUCUUCAGUUUAAUAGCUUUGUUGGUAAAAUUCCUGCAUCACUAGCUAACAAUAUUACACAACUUGCUUAUUUGGAUCUCUCAUCUAAUAGUUUUAGUGGUCAGAUUCCAUCAUCUUUUUCAAAUCUUCAGCAGCUUCAUCAUUUAGAUCUUCAGUUUAAUAGCUUUGUUGGUAAAAUUCCUGCAUCACUAGCUAACAAUAUUACACAACUUGCUUAUUUGGAUCUCUCAUCUAAUAGUUUUAGUGGUCAGAUUCCAUCAUCUUUUUCAAAUCUUCAGCAGCUUCGUCAUUUAGAUCUUCGGUUCAAUAGCUUUGUGGGUAAAAUUCCUGCAUCACUAGGUAACAAUAUUACACAACUUGCUUAUUUGGAUCUCUCAUCUAAUAGUUUUAGUGGUCAGAUUCCAUCAUCUUUUUCAAAUCUUCAGCAGCUUCAUCAUUUAGAUCUUCAGUUUAAUAGCUUUGUUGGUAAAAUUCCUGCAUCACUAGCUAACAAUAUUACACAACUUGCUUAUUUGGAUCUCUCAUCUAAUAGUUUUAGUGGUCAGAUUCCAUCAUCUUUUUCAAAUCUUCAGCAGCUUCAUCAUUUAGAUCUUCAGUUUAAUAGCUUUGUUGGUAAAAUUCCUGCAUCACUAGCUAACAAUAUUACACAACUUGCUUAUUUGGAUCUCUCAUCUAAUAGUUUUAGUGGUCAGAUUCCAUCAUCUUUUUCAAAUCUUCAGCAGCUUCAUCAUUUAGAUCUUCAGUUUAAUAGCUUUGUUGGUAAAAUUCCUGCAUCACUAGCUAACAAUAUUACACAACUUGCUUAUUUGGAUCUCUCAUCUAAUAGUUUUAGUGGUCAGAUUCCAUCAUCUUUUUCAAAUCUUCAGCAGCUUCGUCAUUUAGAUCUUCGGUUCAAUAGCUUUGUGGGUAAAAUUCCUGCAUCACUAGGUAACAAUAUUACACAACUUGCUUAUUUGGAUCUCUCAUCUAAUAGUUUUAGUGGUCAGAUUCCAUCAUCUUUUUCAAAUCUUCAGCAGCUUCAUCAUUUAGAUCUUCAGUUUAAUAGCUUUGUUGGUAAAAUUCCUGCAUCACUAGCUAACAAUAUUACACAACUUGCUUAUUUGGAUCUCUCAUCUAAUAGUUUUAGUGGUCAGAUUCCAUCAUCUUUUUCAAAUCUUCAGCAGCUUCAUCAUUUAGAUCUUCAGUUUAAUAGCUUUGUUGGUAAAAUUCCUGCAUCACUAGCUAACAAUAUUACACAACUUGCUUAUUUGGAUCUCUCAUCUAAUAGUUUUAGUGGUCAGAUUCCAUCAUCUUUUUCAAAUCUUCAGCAGCUUCAUCAUUUAGAUCUUCAGUUUAAUAGCUUUGUUGGUAAAAUUCCUGCAUCACUAGCUAACAAUAUUACACAACUUGCUUAUUUGGAUCUCUCAUCUAAUAGUUUUAGUGGUCAGAUUCCAUCAUCUUUUUCAAAUCUUCAGCAGCUUCGUCAUUUAGAUCUUCGGUUCAAUAGCUUUGUGGGUAAAAUUCCUGCAUCACUAGGUAACAAUAUUACACAACUUGCUUAUUUGGAUCUCUCAUCUAAUAGUUUUAGUGGUCAGAUUCCAUCAUCUUUUUCAAAUCUUCAGCAGCUUCAUCAUUUAGAUCUUCAGUUUAAUAGCUUUGUUGGUAAAAUUCCUGCAUCACUAGCUAACAAUAUUACACAACUUGCUUAUUUGGAUCUCUCAUCUAAUAGUUUUAGUGGUCAGAUUCCAUCAUCUUUUUCAAAUCUUCAGCAGCUUCAUCAUUUAGAUCUUCAGUUUAAUAGCUUUGUUGGUAAAAUUCCUGCAUCACUAGCUAACAAUAUUACACAACUUGCUUAUUUGGAUCUCUCAUCUAAUAGUUUUAGUGGUCAGAUUCCAUCAUCUUUUUCAAAUCUUCAGCAGCUUCAUCAUUUAGAUCUUCAGUUUAAUAGCUUUGUUGGUAAAAUUCCUGCAUCACUAGCUAACAAUAUUACACAACUUGCUUAUUUGGAUCUCUCAUCUAAUAGUUUUAGUGGUCAGAUUCCAUCAUCUUUUUCAAAUCUUCAGCAGCUUCGUCAUUUAGAUCUUCGGUUCAAUAGCUUUGUGGGUAAAAUUCCUGCAUCACUAGGUAACAAUAUUACACAACUUGCUUAUUUGGAUCUCUCAUCUAAUAGUUUUAGUGGUCAGAUUCCAUCAUCUUUUUCAAAUCUUCAGCAGCUUCAUCAUUUAGAUCUUCAGUUUAAUAGCUUUGUUGGUAAAAUUCCUGCAUCACUAGCUAACAAUAUUACACAACUUGCUUAUUUGGAUCUCUCAUCUAAUAGUUUUAGUGGUCAGAUUCCAUCAUCUUUUUCAAAUCUUCAGCAGCUUCAUCAUUUAGAUCUUCAGUUUAAUAGCUUUGUUGGUAAAAUUCCUGCAUCACUAGCUAACAAUAUUACACAACUUGCUUAUUUGGAUCUCUCAUCUAAUAGUUUUAGUGGUCAGAUUCCAUCAUCUUUUUCAAAUCUUCAGCAGCUUCAUCAUUUAGAUCUUCAGUUUAAUAGCUUUGUUGGUAAAAUUCCUGCAUCACUAGCUAACAAUAUUACACAACUUGCUUAUUUGGAUCUCUCAUCUAAUAGUUUUAGUGGUCAGAUUCCAUCAUCUUUUUCAAAUCUUCAGCAGCUUCGUCAUUUAGAUCUUCGGUUCAAUAGCUUUGUGGGUAAAAUUCCUGCAUCACUAGGUAACAAUAUUACACAACUUGCUUAUUUGGAUCUCUCAUCUAAUAGUUUUAGUGGUCAGAUUCCAUCAUCUUUUUCAAAUCUUCAGCAGCUUCAUCAUUUAGAUCUUCAGUUUAAUAGCUUUGUUGGUAAAAUUCCUGCAUCACUAGCUAACAAUAUUACACAACUUGCUUAUUUGGAUCUCUCAUCUAAUAGUUUUAGUGGUCAGAUUCCAUCAUCUUUUUCAAAUCUUCAGCAGCUUCAUCAUUUAGAUCUUCAGUUUAAUAGCUUUGUUGGUAAAAUUCCUGCAUCACUAGCUAACAAUAUUACACAACUUGCUUAUUUGGAUCUCUCAUCUAAUAGUUUUAGUGGUCAGAUUCCAUCAUCUUUUUCAAAUCUUCAGCAGCUUCAUCAUUUAGAUCUUCAGUUUAAUAGCUUUGUUGGUAAAAUUCCUGCAUCACUAGCUAACAAUAUUACACAACUUGCUUAUUUGGAUCUCUCAUCUAAUAGUUUUAGUGGUCAGAUUCCAUCAUCUUUUUCAAAUCUUCAGCAGCUUCGUCAUUUAGAUCUUCGGUUCAAUAGCUUUGUGGGUAAAAUUCCUGCAUCACUAGGUAACAAUAUUACACAACUUGCUUAUUUGGAUCUCUCAUCUAAUAGUUUUAGUGGUCAGAUUCCAUCAUCUUUUUCAAAUCUUCAGCAGCUUCAUCAUUUAGAUCUUCAGUUUAAUAGCUUUGUUGGUAAAAUUCCUGCAUCACUAGCUAACAAUAUUACACAACUUGCUUAUUUGGAUCUCUCAUCUAAUAGUUUUAGUGGUCAGAUUCCAUCAUCUUUUUCAAAUCUUCAGCAGCUUCAUCAUUUAGAUCUUCAGUUUAAUAGCUUUGUUGGUAAAAUUCCUGCAUCACUAGCUAACAAUAUUACACAACUUGCUUAUUUGGAUCUCUCAUCUAAUAGUUUUAGUGGUCAGAUUCCAUCAUCUUUUUCAAAUCUUCAGCAGCUUCAUCAUUUAGAUCUUCAGUUUAAUAGCUUUGUUGGUAAAAUUCCUGCAUCACUAGCUAACAAUAUUACACAACUUGCUUAUUUGGAUCUCUCAUCUAAUAGUUUUAGUGGUCAGAUUCCAUCAUCUUUUUCAAAUCUUCAGCAGCUUCGUCAUUUAGAUCUUCGGUUCAAUAGCUUUGUGGGUAAAAUUCCUGCAUCACUAGGUAACAAUAUUACACAACUUGCUUAUUUGGAUCUCUCAUCUAAUAGUUUUAGUGGUCAGAUUCCAUCAUCUUUUUCAAAUCUUCAGCAGCUUCAUCAUUUAGAUCUUCAGUUUAAUAGCUUUGUUGGUAAAAUUCCUGCAUCACUAGCUAACAAUAUUACACAACUUGCUUAUUUGGAUCUCUCAUCUAAUAGUUUUAGUGGUCAGAUUCCAUCAUCUUUUUCAAAUCUUCAGCAGCUUCAUCAUUUAGAUCUUCAGUUUAAUAGCUUUGUUGGUAAAAUUCCUGCAUCACUAGCUAACAAUAUUACACAACUUGCUUAUUUGGAUCUCUCAUCUAAUAGUUUUAGUGGUCAGAUUCCAUCAUCUUUUUCAAAUCUUCAGCAGCUUCAUCAUUUAGAUCUUCAGUUUAAUAGCUUUGUUGGUAAAAUUCCUGCAUCACUAGCUAACAAUAUUACACAACUUGCUUAUUUGGAUCUCUCAUCUAAUAGUUUUAGUGGUCAGAUUCCAUCAUCUUUUUCAAAUCUUCAGCAGCUUCGUCAUUUAGAUCUUCGGUUCAAUAGCUUUGUGGGUAAAAUUCCUGCAUCACUAGGUAACAAUAUUACACAACUUGCUUAUUUGGAUCUCUCAUCUAAUAGUUUUAGUGGUCAGAUUCCAUCAUCUUUUUCAAAUCUUCAGCAGCUUCAUCAUUUAGAUCUUCAGUUUAAUAGCUUUGUUGGUAAAAUUCCUGCAUCACUAGCUAACAAUAUUACACAACUUGCUUAUUUGGAUCUCUCAUCUAAUAGUUUUAGUGGUCAGAUUCCAUCAUCUUUUUCAAAUCUUCAGCAGCUUCAUCAUUUAGAUCUUCAGUUUAAUAGCUUUGUUGGUAAAAUUCCUGCAUCACUAGCUAACAAUAUUACACAACUUGCUUAUUUGGAUCUCUCAUCUAAUAGUUUUAGUGGUCAGAUUCCAUCAUCUUUUUCAAAUCUUCAGCAGCUUCAUCAUUUAGAUCUUCAGUUUAAUAGCUUUGUUGGUAAAAUUCCUGCAUCACUAGCUAACAAUAUUACACAACUUGCUUAUUUGGAUCUCUCAUCUAAUAGUUUUAGUGGUCAGAUUCCAUCAUCUUUUUCAAAUCUUCAGCAGCUUCGUCAUUUAGAUCUUCGGUUCAAUAGCUUUGUGGGUAAAAUUCCUGCAUCACUAGGUAACAAUAUUACACAACUUGCUUAUUUGGAUCUCUCAUCUAAUAGUUUUAGUGGUCAGAUUCCAUCAUCUUUUUCAAAUCUUCAGCAGCUUCAUCAUUUAGAUCUUCAGUUUAAUAGCUUUGUUGGUAAAAUUCCUGCAUCACUAGCUAACAAUAUUACACAACUUGCUUAUUUGGAUCUCUCAUCUAAUAGUUUUAGUGGUCAGAUUCCAUCAUCUUUUUCAAAUCUUCAGCAGCUUCAUCAUUUAGAUCUUCAGUUUAAUAGCUUUGUUGGUAAAAUUCCUGCAUCACUAGCUAACAAUAUUACACAACUUGCUUAUUUGGAUCUCUCAUCUAAUAGUUUUAGUGGUCAGAUUCCAUCAUCUUUUUCAAAUCUUCAGCAGCUUCAUCAUUUAGAUCUUCAGUUUAAUAGCUUUGUUGGUAAAAUUCCUGCAUCACUAGCUAACAAUAUUACACAACUUGCUUAUUUGGAUCUCUCAUCUAAUAGUUUUAGUGGUCAGAUUCCAUCAUCUUUUUCAAAUCUUCAGCAGCUUCGUCAUUUAGAUCUUCGGUUCAAUAGCUUUGUGGGUAAAAUUCCUGCAUCACUAGGUAACAAUAUUACACAACUUGCUUAUUUGGAUCUCUCAUCUAAUAGUUUUAGUGGUCAGAUUCCAUCAUCUUUUUCAAAUCUUCAGCAGCUUCAUCAUUUAGAUCUUCAGUUUAAUAGCUUUGUUGGUAAAAUUCCUGCAUCACUAGCUAACAAUAUUACACAACUUGCUUAUUUGGAUCUCUCAUCUAAUAGUUUUAGUGGUCAGAUUCCAUCAUCUUUUUCAAAUCUUCAGCAGCUUCAUCAUUUAGAUCUUCAGUUUAAUAGCUUUGUUGGUAAAAUUCCUGCAUCACUAGCUAACAAUAUUACACAACUUGCUUAUUUGGAUCUCUCAUCUAAUAGUUUUAGUGGUCAGAUUCCAUCAUCUUUUUCAAAUCUUCAGCAGCUUCAUCAUUUAGAUCUUCAGUUUAAUAGCUUUGUUGGUAAAAUUCCUGCAUCACUAGCUAACAAUAUUACACAACUUGCUUAUUUGGAUCUCUCAUCUAAUAGUUUUAGUGGUCAGAUUCCAUCAUCUUUUUCAAAUCUUCAGCAGCUUCGUCAUUUAGAUCUUCGGUUCAAUAGCUUUGUGGGUAAAAUUCCUGCAUCACUAGGUAACAAUAUUACACAACUUGCUUAUUUGGAUCUCUCAUCUAAUAGUUUUAGUGGUCAGAUUCCAUCAUCUUUUUCAAAUCUUCAGCAGCUUCAUCAUUUAGAUCUUCAGUUUAAUAGCUUUGUUGGUAAAAUUCCUGCAUCACUAGCUAACAAUAUUACACAACUUGCUUAUUUGGAUCUCUCAUCUAAUAGUUUUAGUGGUCAGAUUCCAUCAUCUUUUUCAAAUCUUCAGCAGCUUCAUCAUUUAGAUCUUCAGUUUAAUAGCUUUGUUGGUAAAAUUCCUGCAUCACUAGCUAACAAUAUUACACAACUUGCUUAUUUGGAUCUCUCAUCUAAUAGUUUUAGUGGUCAGAUUCCAUCAUCUUUUUCAAAUCUUCAGCAGCUUCAUCAUUUAGAUCUUCAGUUUAAUAGCUUUGUUGGUAAAAUUCCUGCAUCACUAGCUAACAAUAUUACACAACUUGCUUAUUUGGAUCUCUCAUCUAAUAGUUUUAGUGGUCAGAUUCCAUCAUCUUUUUCAAAUCUUCAGCAGCUUCGUCAUUUAGAUCUUCGGUUCAAUAGCUUUGUGGGUAAAAUUCCUGCAUCACUAGGUAACAAUAUUACACAACUUGCUUAUUUGGAUCUCUCAUCUAAUAGUUUUAGUGGUCAGAUUCCAUCAUCUUUUUCAAAUCUUCAGCAGCUUCAUCAUUUAGAUCUUCAGUUUAAUAGCUUUGUUGGUAAAAUUCCUGCAUCACUAGCUAACAAUAUUACACAACUUGCUUAUUUGGAUCUCUCAUCUAAUAGUUUUAGUGGUCAGAUUCCAUCAUCUUUUUCAAAUCUUCAGCAGCUUCAUCAUUUAGAUCUUCAGUUUAAUAGCUUUGUUGGUAAAAUUCCUGCAUCACUAGCUAACAAUAUUACACAACUUGCUUAUUUGGAUCUCUCAUCUAAUAGUUUUAGUGGUCAGAUUCCAUCAUCUUUUUCAAAUCUUCAGCAGCUUCAUCAUUUAGAUCUUCAGUUUAAUAGCUUUGUUGGUAAAAUUCCUGCAUCACUAGCUAACAAUAUUACACAACUUGCUUAUUUGGAUCUCUCAUCUAAUAGUUUUAGUGGUCAGAUUCCAUCAUCUUUUUCAAAUCUUCAGCAGCUUCGUCAUUUAGAUCUUCGGUUCAAUAGCUUUGUGGGUAAAAUUCCUGCAUCACUAGGUAACAAUAUUACACAACUUGCUUAUUUGGAUCUCUCAUCUAAUAGUUUUAGUGGUCAGAUUCCAUCAUCUUUUUCAAAUCUUCAGCAGCUUCAUCAUUUAGAUCUUCAGUUUAAUAGCUUUGUUGGUAAAAUUCCUGCAUCACUAGCUAACAAUAUUACACAACUUGCUUAUUUGGAUCUCUCAUCUAAUAGUUUUAGUGGUCAGAUUCCAUCAUCUUUUUCAAAUCUUCAGCAGCUUCGUCAUUUAGAUCUUCGGUUCAAUAGCUUUGUGGGUAAAAUUCCUGCAUCACUAGGUAACAAUAUUACACAACUUGCUUAUUUGGAUCUCUCAUUUAACAGUUUUAGUGGUCAGAUUCCAUCGUCUUUUUCAAAUCUUCAGCAGCUUCGAGUGGUCAGAUUCCAUCGUCUUUUUCAAAUCUUCAGCAGCUUCGACAUUUAGAUCUUCGGUUCAAUAGCUUUGUGGGUAAAAUUCCUGCAUCACUAGGUAACAAUAUUACACAACUUGCUUAUUUGGAUCUCUCAUUUAACAGUUUUACCGGUCAGAUUCCAUCAUCUUUUUCAAAUCUUCAGCAACUUCAUCAUUUAGAUCUUCGGUACAAUAACUUUGUUGGUAAAAUUCCGGAUAUAUUUACCAACCUAACCCAACUUUCUUUUUUAGGCUUGAAAUAUAAUGAACUGAUAGGCUCGAUUCCAAGUUCAAUCUUUGAACUUUUGAAUUUGACAUCUGUCUCUCUUUCUUUUAACAAUUUCCGUGGCAGCGUUGAGCUUUACGAUUUUGCAAAGCUCAAAAAUCUUAAAGUUCUUUUUCUUUCUAAUAUUAGUUUAUCAGUUAGCACCAAAUUAACAGUCAACUCGUCUUUCCCUAAUCUUUCGGAGUUGGAUUUAUCGGCUUGCAAUAUAAGUAAGUUUCCAGACGUCUUGAGAACUCAACAUCAGUUAGAGUGGUUGGACCUUUCUAUAAACCAAAUCCGUGGUAGGAUUCCCAGUUGGAUGUGGGAUAUCGGAGUACAUACUUUGUAUUUCUUAGAUCUUUCACGAAACUUCCUGACAAGCAUAGACCAUCUUCCGUGGAAAAAUCUCGAAUACCUUACCCUUGAUUCGAACCUACUUCAAGGAUCACUUCCAGAUCUACCACCUCACAUGGUAGAGCUUUUAAUUUCCAACAAUAGUUUGACUGGAGAGAUUCCUUCGUCAUUUUGUAAUUUGAGUUCCAUUCAAUAUCUUAACUUAUCCAACAAUAGCUUGAGUGGACAAAUUCCACAGUGUCUUGGAAACUCUACACUUGAAACUUUAGAUCUCAGAAUGAACAACUUCCAAGGUACCAUCCCACAGACAUAUGCAAAGGGCUGCAACUUGAGUUAUCUUCGGCUGAGUGGCAAUCACUUGGAGGGACCAUUACCACCAUCUUUGAUUAACUGUGUCAAAUUGCACUUUCUUGAUGUUGGGAAUAACAACUUGAGCGGCCCAAUUCCAGAAUAUCUUGGAAACUCAACAAGUUUGUCAUUUCUUAAUGUUAGGAAUAACAGCUUGAGCGGCCCAAUUCCGGAAUGUCUUGGAAACUCAACACUUGAAAUCUUAGAUAUGAGAAUGAACAAGUUUAGUGGCAGCCUCCCUCAAACAUUUGCAAAAAGUUGUGUUUUGGUAAGUCUUAACCUUAAUGGCAAUCGGUUGGAAGGACCUUUGCCUCCAUCUUUGGUUAAUUGUCGACAUUUGGAAGUUAUAGAUGUUGGGAACAAUCAGAUUAAUGAGACCUUUCCCCACUGGUUAGACGUUCUUCCCGAAUUGCAAGUACUUACAUUGCGUUCUAAUAGAUUUCGUGGUCCCAUUGGUGAUACCAAAACAAGAGUUCCUUUCCCCAAGUUGCGAAUAAUUGAUCUCUCUUACAAUCGAUUCACCGGUGUUUUGCCAAUAUGGUAUCUGAAUGGUUUUAAAGCCAUGAUGCACGGGGAUGACAAUAGUACUGAAGUCAAUUAUAUGAGGUCGUUGAAUUAUUCCUACUAUGAAUCAAUAUCUCUGACUAUGAAAGGCAAUAACAUACAAAUGGAGAGGAUUUUAACCACUUUUGCAACUAUUGAUUUGUCGAGCAACAGAUUUCAAGGGGAAAUAUCACAAGUGUUGGGAAAGCUUAAUUCUCUCAAAAGUCUCAACAUUUCUCACAACAACUUGACAGGUGGUAUUCCAUCGUCGCUAAGAAAUCUGACAGAGCUUGAAUCUCUAGACCUCUCUUCAAACAAGCUUGCUGGACGUAUCCCAACACAACUGGCGAGUCUCAAUUAUCUUUCGGUGUUGAAUCUUUCGAACAACCAGCUCGAGGGACCCAUACCAGAAGGACCCCAGUUUAAUACAUUUGCAAAUGAUUCCUAUUCUGGUAACUCGGGACUGUGUGGAUUCCCAUUAUCAAAAAGCUGCAGCAUUGAUGAGGCAUCAGAACCACCAACACCAACAGGAUUUAUCGAAGGAGACGAUGCUUCACGCUGGUUUGAUUGGAAGCUCGCUAUGUUGGGCUAUGCAUCUGGAGUAGUGAUCGGCUUGUCCAUCGGAUACAUGGCAUUUGUGACUGGAAGGCCACAAUGGUUUGUAAGAAUGAUCGAAAGGAAGCAAUCCAAGAAGCUGAGAAGGGUGAUCAGACGAGGCAGAGCAGGUAGAAGAAGUUUGUUGGUGCAUCUCUAAAGGCCCGGGUGAGUAAUUAUUAGUUUGUCUUUUGGAAUUAUAAGCUGGUAUCUACUGUUCUUUGAGUAGAUAGCAUGCUGAUAUUAUCGUAAUCUAACAGUUGACUUACAAAAACCACAAUCCUAAUUAAUUUCAUAUUAUGUUUAUUAUCAACAUUUUAACUGAAUUAUUGAUGUGGUUGUUUUCUUCAGGAAUUAUAAACUCCUGGAAGCUAGCAAACAAAUAAUCCUCCAUUAAGUGUGUUCAUUGCUCUUUCUGUGGAAAAUGUAUUAAAUGAUAUCCCACACAUCUGCCAAUGGGCUUGUACAGGGUUGACAUCCGAUGGUUGAAAUUGAGAUCUUUUAUUGUAAUAUCUGUAUUUAAAAAGGAAGAAAUCACCGUCAUCCAAAUUUAAUUAAGAAAAACCUGCACUCUUUCAUAUAUCAACAUUUUUCAUUUAGAGGGGUUUUCAUAGCACUGCCAUACUUAACAUCAGUCCCCACGUACGGUGCGGCCCAUGAUAGGACUCUUCAAACUUCCAACAUUCUCCAUGGAUCUUCCCAUGCAAGGAUUUCUACUCAUCAAUUAGCAGAAAUUUUAGAUUACAUUCGAUGUUUCAUGUUAUCGGCUGAUGUGGAACUAUUAACUAAUAAUAUUUGCAUAUUUGUUGAUAAUUUUUAAACUUAAAAAUUAAUUUAUUAAAAAUCAACCAAUUUCUUUUUUCCUCACAUUCUCUUCUUUCGUCUGGUUCGAAAAAAUUGUUUUCAGAAACAGAAAACCAAAACAUUAAUUUAUUAAAAGUCAUAAAAAUAAUUAAUUGAAUAAAGGGAGAAAGUUUUUGAAAGGCUUCUUGUCUUCCCUAAGAACUCCUCCACUAUUCUCUCCCAACCAGCCUAAAAUUCUACAAUACAUUCGUAGUUAUUGCCUGCAAUGAUUUCAAUGACUCUUAAGAUUUCCUCUGCUUUUACUCAAUUUCCGAGCUUGACACUCCUUUAACCUCUCUUUCAAUUCCCAAGUUGGAUCAACUAAUUAGUCAGUUGGCCCAACUAUUUUUUGAGUGGAAACAAGAGAUAUAAAAUUUGAAUUUGGAUCUUAUGGAUGUGGAGGAAAUUGAGUUGUCAUAAAAUCAUAAUUGAAAAAAGAAAAAAAAAGUAUUCACUCAAAUGAAAAUGUUUGCUCAAACGAUGAAAUUGUUUGCUUUUAUUCUCGUGACAUAGCUGCACUUGAAAAUGAAACAGUUGAUAAUGAGUAAUAAUGUCUGGAAUGUCGUCGCAAGAAAUAAAGAAGGAAGAGCUUUCAAGUUAUGAACUUUCUUUUCUGUUAAUUCUUAUGCUAUUUAGUUGCUUUAUUAAAUAUUUCUUUUUAAUUAAGAAUGAAAAUAAAAACAGUGGAAAAAAAUUAAUGUCCAACUUUGUUGGGAAAUUAAAUUUUUGUUGAUCCAUAAGUUCUCUUCUCUUCCAGACAACUUAUAACAGCUUCAAUUGAUCAAUCGUACAAGUAAUGUAAUUAAGAAGUAAAUGGAAGGUCUAACAACUUGCUUAACAAACUGAAACAGAAUCAAAACAGAGGAGGGAAAAUAAAUUGUGUGUGUGUAAUGUAUAUGUUUAAUUUCAGUUUGAACCAUUAUCCUUUCUGUAUUUGCUUUUCAGCCUCGGAGAGCACAUUAUCCUUUCUGAUUUAUUGUAGAAUUUCUUAAUCAUAACGUUAGGAUUGGUUAUUGUAACCUAUGUUUCUUAAUCAUAACGUUAGGAUUGGUUAUUGUAACCUAUGUGAUGUGGACUAAUUGAAUUUUGUAGAAGGUUUUGAGUGAAAAUUAAUAGAAAAUAUGAUUCUAACUUUUAAGUAUCAAGUGGUCAUAUUAAAAUUUUCCAAAUAUUGGUCUCGAUUAUAAAUUAACAUCUAAUUUUCUACAAAUGCUCUGCACGUCUCAUUUGCUUUUUAUGAUCACAUAUGUUCGACAUUACAACAUUAAAAUGGUACAUGAAAUUGCAAAUAUCAUGAUCCGAGCUAAUGUUGGUAUUUGCUUCUUCUUCUUCUUCUUCAUAUUUAUUACUAACAUUCUACAAACAAGUCGUUUAUUUGAUGACGAUUUGAACACUGUACAAAAUAAUAGCCGUUUAUAUAUGUAUGUGUGUACACACGCUUCUUUAGUUCCAGAGCCUUCAUUUUUUUUUUAAUGUAGAUAUGCUUUUAGGCAAUGCAAUUUAAGAUUGUUAAUUUUUAAUGCUAAUAAAUCACACAGCCUUACCGUUCUUUCAAAAAUAACUCUUUAAAGUUGCACUGCUUAAGAGCAUGUCCGCAUUAAGAAAAUAAGGGCACAACACCCAAAAAUGAUGACAUACAUACAUACAUACCUAUGUGUGUGUGUGUCAGAGUAUUCGUAAUCUUAAGUUGAACAUCAAUAAUUAAUUGAAAAACAUUGUAAUUACCUAGGACUAUAGACACGAUCACGUUUUUUAUUACCACACCAUUUCUUUAUUCAUAAGUUGAUAUUUAUUAAACUCAAAAACUUUAUUUUAUUGCUAAUUAUUAGAUCUAAAGUUUGACUCUAGAUGAUUUAUAUGAUAGAUUUUAUCACUAAUUAUCAAUUACUUAAAUGUAAUUUAUGGAAGCUUUGAUUAAAAGUUCAAGGAUGGUUUUUGACACAACUCAAAAGUGUUGUUUACUACCAAGUAUAAGAGUAUUUGGUUAUAAUCUAACCCGGUGAGUCUGAGGUUGAACCACAGGAAGUUUAAAAUCUAGUAGUUAAUUAGUAAACAAAGAAAAUUAAAUGAGGGAAUGGAAAUUAAUAACAAUCAACUUAAAAAUAUGCUACGAUUUCGGGAUCCAUUAUCGGAUUUUAAAUUAUGGAUAUAACACUCUAAUUAUGGAUAUAACACUCUCAUAUUUGUAUUUUGCAUUUAUUUUGCCAGUUAAUUAUUAUGUCAUUUAAUCUUAACUAACAAUUAGUAUGAUAAAUAUGAGACCAAGUAUCUAAUGUUUUACAAUUAUAUUGAAGUGUCGACAUUAUGUCGAAAUACCAUAUAAUCUAAAGAGAUCUAAAUCUAUAAAUUAAUAUGACAUUAAAGUUGUUCAUUCUAAAAUCUAAAUACCCAACUAUGACAUUAAUGAUGUUCAUUCUAAAUUAAUAUGACAUUAAAGUUGUUCAUUCUAAAUUAGUAUGACAUUAAUGUCGAAAAUUGUUCAUUCUAAAAUCUAAAUACCCAACUAUAGAGUUCCCAAGACAUUGUGGAAUUUUUCCAAUUAAGCUAUUGUUAGACAUAAAGAUGGCCAACAAGUUUGAGUGGUGCGUGGCACAACACAGGCAUAAAAUAUUAAGGUCGUAAAAAUCUUAGUUUCAAACAAUAAAAACUCUAAUUGCUUUAUGUUUAUUAAAUAAUUAAAUGAUAUCAUGAUUUUAACAAAUAAAAUUAUAAAUAUCAUGACUUUAUAAAAUGACACAUCUAAACUUUUACAACUUCAAUAUUUUAUUUAUGAAAUCAUAAAUUAGUCAGAAGAAAAUAAGCUUCAUUGCAAAUGAAAUAUUUUCACCAUUUAUACACAAAAAAUAAAAAUAAAAUUGUGAAUGAAAUGUGUUUUAUGAUAAAUUAAAAGUUGCAUUUUUGGAUAAGAUAAACAGUUAAAUUGUGAAUCUAAGCUAUUAGUUUUAGAAUGAACAACAUUAAUGUCAUAGUUGGGUAUUUAGAUUUUAGAAUGAACAACAAAACUACAGCUCCAAGCUAUUAGUUUUGUCUUUUUGUAGAUUGCACGCUGAUUUUUAUUUGAACUGCAUAUUAAUGUGACGUGUUUUUUCUACAGGAAUUUCGGACUCAUGGAAGGUAGCAUUGGAAGUGAAUCAAUCCUCCUGGUGCCAAACUUGCCUUGCUUUAUUUAUUUCCAUAUCUUUAGAAUAUUUUACUACUUGUGUUUUAUUGGUAAUUAAAUUUAUAAAAAUUUUGAGCGAAAAAAUGAUUCGAAAAAUUAUUGAUGUAGGAAAUGGCGUGGGCUGACUUUGAUUUAGUGCAUCUUUGGGCUAUGAAAUGUUGAAUUUGCCCUUGUUAGCCAUGAGAUUAUAACAAAUUGUUCUUUGUAUGAACCAAUGGGUAAAAUCACUUUAACACAUUGUUUUCUUGAAUUAACCAAUUCAAUUGGUAAAAUCUCUCGGGUGUAAAAAAGAGGUCUAGAAUUCAAAUCUUCCAGUGUAAAAAAAAAAAAAAAGAGUUAUCAUUAAUCUACAUUUGAAAAAAAAAGUUUAUUCAAAUGAAAAUGCUUUUGCUCUCAAACACAAAAGAUGAAAUUGUUGGCUUUUAUUCUUGUGAGAUAGUUGUGCCUGAAAAUGUUUGAUAAUAAGCAAUUGGGGAAAGGCCAUUCACACCCCCAAAAUUUGCUUAAAUGAUCACACACGUCUCUUUUUUAUUAUUAUACCAUUGAUUACAACAAUCAAAUAAUUGACUUUAAUUAAACUUCUAAAUGUAAUCACUAUAAAUUAAACCUAAAAUAAUAUAAUAUAUAAAUAAGACAAAAUCUAUAAAAUAUUUUGAAUAUUAGAAAAGUUAUUUUAAAAUAAUUAUACCUAACGUUCACUUAAUAAAAUUUAUAUUAUUUUAUUUACAAUAUCAUUUUUAAUUAUAUCUAUAUUAUAUAAAUCUUAAACUCAAGUUUUCGAUUAAUAGAUCUUAGUAUUAAUAAAAAUCCGUUGGGAUAGACUAAUAAUAACUUAAUACAAAAAAUAAUUUUCAUUAUAUAUGUAAUUUUAUUAAUUAUACUCAUAAAAUUUUAUUUGUAUCAUAUGCUAUUUUAUUUUUGACCCAACAAACAAGGAAACAUGCUGGCAAAAUUAUCCAUUCAAGAAUACAAGUACAUGGUUGAGUCUUUCAGGGAAAAAAAAUUAUUUUAAAAAUAAUUUUGACGUAGGAAAUGAUUUGGAGUGACAUUCAUUUGGUGCCAUUAAGGCCACAUUUUCAGAAUUGGGCGUAUAGUAUAUACUUUUUCAAAGCUGGUAACAAGAUGAACAAUGUUGCCCAUUUGCCUUUGACUCUGAUGUCCGUGGGGCAUUAACAAGAUGAAAUUGUACAAUUUCAGGACUCAAAAUCGCAUACCUUCCAAAUGUAUGCACCUUUACAAAAAAUUAUGCACAUUUACAUGGGAUAGACGAUUUUGGUUUGACUUUGAUAUGACCGUAAAUACUAUAGAAAUUACAAACUUUAGAGGCUCACGAAAUAAAUAUUGUAAAUUUAAGGGGGCUAAAUCAUAAGCUUUACAAAUAAAUGGAUUCAAUUUUAGUUUGUACCUUUAUCAGCGAAUCCAAUUUUCCAAUUUUCAAACCAAAAUUUAGUUUUAAUUUUUUGAUUAAAUUUCCUUUGAAAAUGCUCAACUAAAUACUAUUUUUGGUUAGAUAUUAGUUUGAAUGGACAUGUUCAUAGAUGAUUGUGUAAGCAAUUUAUUUGGUUAAUUAACGGUUGUAAUCUUUAAAAAUAUGAAUUACUAAUUUUAAAAAAUUUUAGUGGUUAGUGUAUUAAAAGUGUGUUUGGAGCAUAGCAUUGCAUAUUAUUGUAAUACUAUUCACAUUAAUUUAUCACUAACCUAUGAUUGGUAAUUUAGAAGCUACAUUGUGGUGCAUAUGCACCAUAAUGCGCCAACUUUUGCCUCAAUUGAGGCAUUAAAUAUAUUUGAAUUAUCUUUUAAUUUUAAUUAUAAUAAAUAAAAUAUAAAAUAUGUUAUAUUAUAAUAUUUUUGUUCAAUAGCACAAUAUCACCUUAUAUUUAUACAUUAGUAAUUAAUAUAAAAUAAUAAUUUAUUAACUAAUUUUAUAUAAUUAACAAUAAAAUAAUAAUAAGUUUAAAUAUUAUAUAAUUUAAUACAAAAUUAUAGUAAUGGGCAUACAUUAUUGCCAACUAAAAUCCAUUACUCUUUACUUACACCGUGUUAUGUCAUUUAAUGCAAGUAUAUCACUUUAUGUAGUAUUGAAUUAGUAUUGGAUUAAAAUAAUAUUAUCUAACAGUUGGCUUAGAAAAACCGCAAUCCUAAUGAAUUUCAAAUUAUGUUUAUUAUCAACAUCUAUAGUGAGAAACAAAAUGAGGAUAAUGUAUAAGAAGGAAAAUUUUAACUGAAUGAUUGAUGUGACUGUUUUCCUCAGGAAUUAUAAACUCUGGAAGCUAGCAGUGGAAGCCAAAUAAUCCUCCAGGUACUGAAAUUUUUUAAAUUUUAUUUCCAUUUCAUGAAAUUGUUUUUACUUUUAUUUCUGUUUCGUUAGAACAAGUUGUCACGGACGUAUGUUUUGGGUGGUAAAGUGAUUUGAAGUAAUAUUGUUGCAGGAAAUUGUUUCAUCGCGGGCCACGUAUUUCAAAGUUUGUGCGCAUCGCUCUUCUUGGAGAAAAUGUAUUAAAUGAAAUCCCACACAUCUGCCAAAGGGCUUGUACAGCGUUGACCGCACUCAUGCUCUCAAUUCUGGAGUAUACAUAUGAGGGUUGAAAUUGACUUGUGUCAUGAUAAAUUUAAUUUAAAGAAACUUUUGUAGAUCUUUUAUUCUAAUAUGCAUCUGUAUUUCAAUAGGAAGAAUCACCGUCAUCCAAAUUUAAUUAAGAAAAAUCUGCACUUUUUCAUAUAUCAAGAUUUUUCAUUUUGUUCUUUCAAAAACUAUAUAUAUAUAUUUUUCAUUUUAUAGAAACAAAAAUAAUUAUGCGUAAAAUGAAACCAAACGGCCAUUAAAUUUAGAGGGGUUUUCAUAUCGCUGCCCUACUUAACAGCACUCCCCACGUACGUUGCGGCCCAUGAUUCCCCUUGUAACACGUUCUCAAGAUAAAUGAUUGGGUGUAAAGAGAAAAUGGUUUCAAUAAUUGAAAUAACAUAGGUCCAAAAUCUCAGUUCUGACGGCCCAGUACGUGCCACGUCAACACGUGCAAACUCAUCCACGUCACCAGACUCAGCGCUCUCGCCACGUCAUCACUCGAGCGGUUGUAACUGAUGAUAAUUUGGAUUAAGAAAAACAGUUGAAUUGAGUCGCGUCACAAAGGGGGAGCACCAAAGACAAAGAGAAACCAAAAUGGCUCGAGCUUUGCUUCAUUUGAAUAGCACGGCCACGGCCAUAAUAGUUAUUUUGAUUAAUGUGCUUUGACUAUCGCAUGUUAUUAUUUUAGAACGUUGUCAAACAUGCUAGUUCUUGGAUGGAACUAUAAGAGUUGUGAAUUCAAUUAGUUAUGGAUGGAAUGUUUCCUCAUUUAGAGUGGUGCUGAGAAAAUUUUGCAUACCGGCAGGGAAAAAGGUGCUGCAAUGAUCUCUACACUGGGGAAGAACUCUGAAUUUUCUGAAGUUAACAUUGGCAAUAAAGGCUCAUUAUUAAUGGCUUUAAGAGGAGCGAUCAUUCCUGUUAUACUAGAUGUACCACAUCAAUGAUUCUUUUCCUUCUAGGGUCAACGUAAAGGAAUUAUUUUCAGGAGCAGAUAUUUCAUUAUUGACAAUAUUUUAAUAUUCUACAGUUGAAAUGAUGUAACUUUGCUUCUGCAGAUGUGGAUCUUGUUCGUGGCAGCAGGGCCUUAUCAACAGGCACUGAAAUGCAUUGGUAGCUGCCAUAGAAACUAAGGUGAGGAAAGGUAAAUGUUGUGUUUGAUUAUCUCUUUUCCUAUGUUUUAUAUACGUGAUGAUUGGAGAAAGAAUAACUCUUCUUUAUAUGAGAUGAUUUGAAUUUUCAAGCUAUAUUCAAUAAACUCUAAAUUAAAGACAUUAGAGUAUGUUACAAGUAGGAGAGAGGAUUUACAUGGAAUUGCCCUAGUAUGACAAUUUAAAAAAGUUCUGUCAUGUGACAUAACAGUAGAUCUUCACGUCGAAUCCACUAAAUUUAGAUUAAAAUAUUAAUGGAUGUUUUAUAUAUGUGAUGAUUUUAUUAUCGCCUGCCUACAAUGAUUUCAACGACUCUAAGAUUUCCUCUGCUUUUACUCAAUUUCCGACCUUUACAGUCAGUCCUUAACCUCUCUUUCAAUUCCAAGGUUGGGCUAACUAACGAGUUACUUAGUACUAUUUUUUGAGUGGAAACAAGAGAUAUAAAAUUUGAAUUUGGAUCCUAUGGAUGUGGAGGAAAUUAAGUAGUCAUAACUAUAAUUAAAAAAAAAAAAGUGUCCACUCAAAUGAAAAUGUUUGCUCAAAAGAUGAAAUUGUUUGCUUUUAUUCUCGUGACAUAGCUUCACUCGAAAACGAAACAGUUGAUAAUGAGUAAUAAUGUUUGCAAUGACGCCGCAGGAAAUAUUGAAGGAAGAGAGCGCUUUCAAAUCAAUGGACUUUGUUUUCUAUUAAUUUUUAUGUUAUUUAGUUGGUUUAUUAAAUAUUUCUUUUAAAUUCAAGGUUACACAAAUUAAGAACGAAAUUAAAAACACUGGUGGAAAAAAACUAAUGUCCAAUUCUGUUGGGAAAUUAAAUUUUUCACUCGACUGCCUUCAAGGUGCAGUCGAGUGAAAAACAUUGUAAUCGCUUAAGAUUACAAAUACGAUCAUUUUUUUUUUUUUUUUUUAUCUCAACAUUUCUUCUUCAUUCAUAAGUUGAUAUUAAACUCAAAAGCUUUAUUUUAUAGCUAAUUAUUAGAUAUAAAAUUUGAUUCCAAAUGAUUUAUAGGAUAUAUUUAGGGGUCCGGGUAAGUUACAAAUUUUGUUAGUAAAAGCCAACUGAGUUGAACCGUUGGAUUUAAAGACAGAAAUCUAACACUAGCAAUAACUUAUCAGAAUAAAUUCUUUGUGUACCGUGAUUGGUUUUAUUCUCUAUCUAUUUUUUAUUCAUCAUUUGUUUGAUAUUUUUACCUGAUAGAUCUUGGGUGGGAUUAAGAUUCUCUAACACCUUAUUGUUGAUAAUAAUAAUAUCAAUAUAAGGGAAAAAAGACACAUGCACCCCCAAGGUUUGGGGAAAUAGUUAUGUACAUCCUUAAAUUUUAAAUAAGGAAUAUCAAGACUCUGUUUUAAUUAUAAUACUCGUUCACCCUAUAACUCAAAAAAAAAAAAAUGUAUCCAAUAUUUUAUAAUAAAUAGAAAUAUAAUAUUAAAAUAGAUGUAAUAAUGUAUACAUUUUAAAAUAAUUUAAUGUUUAAAAAGAUAUUUUAAUACUUUACAAUCUUAUAUUGUAUUGAACUGAAUAUAUAAAAAAUUAUAUUAUUUUCAAUAUGUAUAAUAUAAUUUUAAUUGUAUUAAUACAUGAGACAUUUUUAUUAAUCUGCUGUNNNNNNNNNNNNNNNNNNNNNNNNNNNNNNNNNNNNNNNNNNNNNNNNNNUAUAUUUUAACUUAUUUAUUUAUUAGUAAGUAUAAUGCUAUAUUUACAAGUUUAAAUUUUUUAUUAAAUAAAUAUUUUUAUUUUUUGCGGAUUUGUGGAUUUUUGCGUAUGAUAGAAAUAAAUCCACAUCCAAUCCACCAACUGCGGAUUUUCAAAUUUUCAAUCAAAUCAAAUCCACGAAUCGGAUUUUUAUGGAUUGAAUUUCUACGAAGGAUUGGAUUGGAUUCUGAACGCCCCUAAUAAGAACAUGUUCUUUUUUUACUAGAAUAAGAUUGGGCUUGAUUGGAAAUUCGAAUUUAGUGGUAUGUAAUAUGUUUAACUCCAUUGUAUGGUUUAGAAAGCAAUAUCCAAAAGCAUAUUCAGACGUUUUUAUGGCCUGUAUAAGCUCAUGUUGCAAUUUUGACUAUGGUUGUUGUAUCAUUGAGUAACGAAUUUAAGUUUAAACAAGAGAAAUUAUUCACCGUCCACCUAUUUGUUUUGCCUUUUUUAAAAAUACACAAACAUUUUUUUUCCUUUUCAGUGUGCCACUUGAAGUUAGCCUUUUAUUGCACUUGUUUACUUCUGUCUAACCGCUGUUAGAAUUUUGCUGACGUCAGAAGGGUAAAAUGGACAUUUCAUUCGAAUACCUAAAAUUAUGUUGUAUUAUGCUAAUUUUCUGCUGUACCGUACAUCCGCCUUGGCCGUACAGCAGAUUUGCACCAUCCAAAUGUGGUGGCUUUCUACGGUGUUGUGCUUGAUGGUCCUGGAGGUUCUGUGGCAACAGUAACAGAGUAUAUGGUUAAUGGUUCUCUAAGAAAUGCUUUGCAAAAGAAUGAGAGGUAUGAUACCCAUUUUGGACUUAUCUGGUUUUUCUUUUUUAUGUAUUCACUUGUCCCUUGGUAAGUAUAGCUGUUUGUAAGUCUUCAUGCAUGCAAAAUUUUCAUGCUUCUCACCAGGAAUCUUGAUAAGCGUAAGCGUCUCUUGAUUGCCAUGGAUGUGGCCUUUGGAAUGGAGUACUUGCAUGGAAAGAACAUAGUGCACUUUGAUUUAAAAAGUGACAAUUUACUUGUUAAUCUUCGAGAUCCUUACCGCCCAAUAUGCAAGGUUAGUGAACGGGCUUGCAAUCUUGUUUUGGUGAAUUUUGGAUGGAGAAUUUCUUUGGAAUUUCUUUGAUUACUUGUUCAAUUUUCUAUCAAUAAACAUUUUUAAUUGUUAUCGUCCUUAGAAGGUACAUGCGUUUUGUAAUUUGUUCCGGUUCCAUGCUUCUGGAAGAGUUCUAGUUCAUAAUUCUUGUGGUACUAGGUUGGUGAUUUGGGCCUGUCUAAGGUGAAAUGUCAGACGCUGAUCUCAGGUGGUGUACGAGGAACACUUCCAUGGAUGGCACCAGAGCUCCUGAAUGGCAGCAGCAGCCUAGUCUCAGAAAAGGUUUGUGCUUCUUUGUGUAUUCCUAGGUCGUCCUCUGAUGCUAUUGUCUGUUGAUUCAUUCUCCUGAAAACUUGAGAUUUGUCUUUCAAAAUGUCUUGCUCUCUAGGUCGAUGUUUUCUCCUUUGGCAUUGUGUUGUGGGAACUUCUUACUGGAGAUGAACCAUAUGCAGAUUUGCACUAUGGAGCUAUUAUUGGUGACUUUUGAACCUCAUCUCUUAUUGUUUCUCUACUUCGAUGAAUUUGGAUUUCCUUUUCUGACCGUUGACUUGAAAUACUAAUCAGGUGGUAUUGUGAGCAAUACAUUGCGGCCACCAGUGCCGGAAUCUUGUGACCUGGAGUGGAGAUCAAUGAUGGAGAGAUGCUGGUCAGCAGAACCAUCAGAGAGACCAAGCUUCACUGAGAUUGCAAACGAGUUGCGGUCAAUGGCAGCCAAAAUUCCUCCCAAAGGACAAAACCCAGCACAGCCACAUUCCCAACCCCAAGUUCAUAAAUAAUUUCCGUCUAUUUGCUUCCUCUCAGCUCAGUAUCUUUUUCUGAUUAGCUUUAAACAGUUUGUGGAAUCUUUUGCCGACUAUAGUAAAUGUGAUAUAGGAAUUAUUUUUUUCUUCUCUUUGCUGUCAAUGGAUGGACGGAAGAUAGAGGUGUGAUUAGAAUGAAUGUAUUUACUAUUAUAUUUUAAUUUGAUGAAAUGAAAGGAAUUUUUUGAAGAUGCAAAAUUUUGACCCCCAAUUGCGUGAUUGUCAACUUUGUUUGUUAGCCAUUGUUCUUGUGCUUGUUAAUGAUGAGCGGUGGGAUCGGCCAAGAAUUGUAUGACUUGGGUCACGGUUGCUUAUUUCAAAUGUUUUGACCGGGUCAAAUCACAUUGUUCCAACUUCCAAGUAACCUCGACUCUUGAGUUCAUCAAACGUGGUUUUGGUCCAAUUUACACUUAUGCAUAAGAUGCCGCCGCGUUAAUAAUAAAUAUAUGCCAUUGGUCAAUUUCAAAGUGUGAGUGCCAGCCAACCACCGAAUCAAUCAAUGUGCAUGUGAAAUCCAAUUUGCAUUUGGAUUUUCGUCAGUCAACUUCUUCUUCUUCUUCUAGACUUAAACAACACCAAGGCAGACAAACGCGGUCUUGGUUUUGACAUCUUAACUAUUUGAAGAAACCUCAAUUUCUGUGACGUUUCCUUUUCCUCAUCAUCUUCCUUCCUUUAUAUAUGACUUUUUAUCUUCAUUACAAUCAAUCGCAUCUCUCUGUCUCUCGAUCUUUCUGUGUAUAUAUAUACACAUAUGGCCAACGUUCAGGAGAAAGUUUCAUGCAUGUCACCAUUAAAGGAGAAUGGACAAGACGGAGAAGAAGACUUUGAUGAUGACUAUGACAACACCGUUUCCGAAAAAGGGUACGGCUGUGAUUGUUUCGGGCUCUUCAGCUUCAAGACCAGGCGGCGAGGCAAUGAAUACAACAAUCUGCUGCACGAAGGGCAGCACAGACUUGGAGAGCCAUGGUGGAAUGAGAAACUGAAGAAAGUUAAGGAGGUUUCUGAGUUAUGCGCAGGGCCUAAAUGGAAGAAUUUCAUUAGAAAGACUGGCAGAUUUUUCAGUUUUAAGAGAAACAAACACAACAAUUUCCAAUAUGAUCCUCAGAGCUACGCUCUCAACUUUGACGGUGGUUUUGACAGAGACGGUGAUGAUUUUGCUUCAUGAUUUGAUGCUAUUUUGUGUAGAUGAAAAAAUCAUUGACUUACGUUGGGCUACGAAUAUGAUGAUCGUAAAAUCGUAACAUACAACUGACCAGCCAGUAUUGUUGAUUAAUGGCGAUAUGUCAUGUAUCUCUUAGUUGUUCAUCCACCAUCUUACAUAUAUAUAUUCAAUUACACGUGUAAAGAAAGUUGAUUUGCAUGUUGGCACUUAUUUUUCAUAUGUUCUGUAUGGUACAUCAAUUAGCAUAUAAACAUUGCACGCAACUUACAAAUAGCAGGAAUACAGACAGUGGAUAAACAUACCAUACAACUUCAUUCUCAACUUAUGAAUGGUUUAACAGACCUCUCUCUCUAUCCCAUGUAUCUUUAGGCAAGCAAUCAUAGUAGUAAUAAUAGCAAGUCAUAUUAGUGGAAACAGAUUGACUCACAUAUAGAACCCUUUAACUUAUAGACAUUAACUACUCGCAAAUAUAUUCUUAACUGGAGGCAAAUAUUGAUAUGGUCCAGGCAAGCUAUAUGAAGUGUAUUUUUCCCAUCACUAAUGGUUGAAAUUUGAACCUUUAAAAUGAGAAAAAGGCUUGAAACGAUUGGAUUUGGGUUGGUGCAGUUGUAUGAGUUGCAUAGCAGCCUCGUUUAGCAGACUAAGGUUUCUUGUACGUGCUCGAUAAAGAUACCCAAAUAUUCUUUAUGUUGCAUUUGAAGUUUCAAACUUCUUGUUUCAGUGGCCACAGAGAGGUGAUCUGAUACUUCUUCAACCAAAAUUUGGAGAAGAGGCCAAUACUUCUGUCCAACUGUUCCACUUACAUGAAAUUUUCAUUACUAGAUUUACCUGCAUUACUUCUUUCCCAAAUUACAUUAGGAAAAAUUCUCAUAAUAAAAUCUGAUUCUGUAAUGGGGACACCAAGAUCAAUUAACAGCCUACCUCUUGCGUUUGCUCUUUGAAGCAGUGGAAGAUGAAGGGUUAGCAUGCCAAUUCCUUUUCCUUUGGUUUAUAAACCAAUUAUUUAUUUGCUUUAAUUGCAAGCCCGUUUCCUGCACCAAUCUUGCCUUGUCUUCCUCCUGCAACAACAUUUAGAACCAAAUAAGAGUUUAAGGUGCAUAUGCUGUUGAAUAAACUGAUAGCCAUACAGGAGUUUGUCCUACUUACAGUUGGAUAAGGCCACUUAGCAUGCGACAGCCACCAAGCUUUUAAAAGUGAGGUGGUGUCACCUGGCAAUUUUCCAGCCCUUCUCUUACGCAGAAUUUCUUCCCUAAUGUCAACAAUCUUCUCCUUGUAACCCUUAAAAGCAGAAAACACAUCAGCUGCACAAUCAAUCGAGUCGUUUACCAAUGAAGAUGGUUUUGCACUCUCACCUGUUUCAGCUCAUGCUUCAGUUCGUGCCUAACACGCUCCAUCAAGGACCUCUCACUUUCAGUUGGAACAAGAGGACCAAAUCCCAUGCUAUCGGGUCCAUCCAGACUUCCAUCAAAAAAGUUUGUGUCACUGUCUACCUGGUCUUCAUCAUCAUCGGACAUUGUUGCACCUGUGCUUUCACCAGGAGAUACACCUGUAGUGCUCAUCCAUCAUGGUUUAGUUCAGGUUGAGCCAUUAAUACAAGGAGAUUGGAAAGUGAUAAAAACGAUUUUGAGAAAGAAGGGAAAACAUAGAUGAAAUAAGAUCUUCAUUAUUCCAUUGGUUACUGUAAGUAGCCAAACCAAAGCUGGUGGUCAUAAAAUUUCUAUAAGCUAUAUUUGCAGGUUUUGCCAGUUGUUGAGUAAUACUAUUACUGGAUGGAAACAAGAAUCACCAUGAUCAUAAAGCCAAUUUAUGCAACUUAAGGAACAAUUAUUUUAAACUUCACUACAGAAGAGUCAAUAAGCACUACAAAUACAAUAGUGGCUUUACCACAUAGAUGAAACUUCUCAUGCUCAAAAAGCACAAGUGUUUCUACAGAUGUUUCUCUGAAUUCUGAUGAUGCAAUAUGGUUCUUGAAAUAUGAAUAGAUUUGUGUUUUAUGCACAACUUUGAUUCUUCAGCUUCGCAUAUUCAGCAUAUUAACUAUACAGUUCAUUCAAGAAACCAUUAUCCCUCUUUUGAAUUCUACUGCUUAGCCAACAACGCACAUGUGUUGAGGGAAAAGAUUACCAGUUAAGCUUUGUAAAGAUUGCUCAAGAUCCCAACAUGCCAUUACCGCUUCCAUUGCAUGAACCCGGACAUGUUGUUGCAAUUGUUCUUUAAAGGAAUAGAGCAAAAGAACAUAAUGCGUCUACAUCAGAAAUGGAAGGGAAAAAAUUGACUUUCAGAUAAAAAAGAACAAAAAUGAUUUCACAGAAAAUGCUGCUGUACGGCCAAGGCGGAUGUACGGUACAGCAGUAUUAUUAAAAUAAAUAUAAUAAUUUACAUUUUAAAAAUUAUUUUAUAUAUUAAAAACGUUCCAAUAUUAUUAGCCUGUCAGAUAAAUUAAUCUAUUUAAGUUAUAUUUGUAUUUAUUAAAAAUUUUAAUGUUAAUUUUUUGCCUACUAUUUAUAAAGGGUAUAUAGUCAAAAGAAAAUCCUGAUAUCCCUCAUCAAAAAUUUGAGAGUGCACAUAACUAUUUCUUCAAAUCUUGUGCGUGUAGGUGUCUUUUUUCCUAUUAUGUGAGAUAUAUUAGAAAAUCUAAGUGUUUUACGCAUACAUAUGAGAACACUCUUAAUUAAUAAAAUUUUGUUUCAAUAGUGAAAAAAUUAAUUAGAACUCAUGUAUUUUUUUUUUCUUAUAACAAUGGUAUUAUCAAAUGCGAGGCACAUUAAGGUAAGUGGCCACAUUUGGAAGAUAAAAUAAGGGGGCAAACAAGACUAAAUCGUGUGAUUAUUAUUCUUGUUCCAUGUUUAUAUUGUUAAUUUGUUAUGCCUACUAAAUAAUAAUUGAUCAUUAUUCUUGUCAAUAAUAAGAACUUAUUCCAAAUUAAUUCAUAGCAUCCGAGCCGGAUCUAUGCUAGGAAAUUUUUGUUUAUACCCCUUACUUUUUUAUGAAUUUUUUAUAUAAUAAUUUAUUUUUAUUUUAUUUUCAAAUAAGUUUUAAAAAUGUCCCAAUUCAAUUUUUUUUUUAAAUUAGAGAGUUAUUUUAUAAAAUAAUUAUAUGAUAUAUUUAUGGAAUAAAAACAUUAUCAUUGGUAUAAUGGUAUUAGACAGUUAUAAAAUGAUACAUUAAUAAUUAACAACAUUUUCAUAAUUUCACAGUCCAUUCCUUCAUAGUCAUACUUAUUUUUUGUCCUUUUCAUUAAAUCAAAUUAUUCAAAUGUUUCACAUUCACUACAUUAAAAUUAAAAAAAAUUCAAAUAUGUAUUUAAUAUAAAUUUUAUUAAUUUAUAUUAUAAACUUAUUUGUUGCAUUAUUGUCAUUCUUUUAUUAAAUAUAUGUGCUUUGCUAAGAGUUUUAAUGUGAUGUUGCUUGAUAGAUAUGUCGUUUUUACUCAUUUUCAUGAACCGAUAUUUACACAAAUGAGUGCUUUAAUGGAUACGACUUAUACGUGUCUCACCCUUCACCAACAAUUUCUGCUACAAAAAUCUAAUGCUUCAAACUAAAGCAAUAUUUAAUUUAAUUACCAUUCCGUAUAAAGAAAAUGAAAAUGAUGCUCCUUUGUGACUUGGUCAAUUUGUUGCGGCUGACAUACUGUACGUUGAGUAUAUGACAGUUCUAGCUAUUUGGACACUGCUUCAGCUUUUGGAUGGGUAAGUGGAAUUUUGAAGAAUUAAAGUCUGCUCGAAUCGCAAAGGAGGGGAUGAGAAAGGUCUCUCAAUUAAUAUUUACUGAUGCGUGUUUGACUAAAUUGCCAAUUGGUGAUUUUCGUUUUUGACUAACAAUCGCUAGUGAAUGACAUUCGAUCAGCAGCUGCUUCCGGAAAGAAAGAGUGAAAGAGUACUUCCAUCUUUGCCAAAAGAGAGGAAAAAAAGAAUACGAUAGACAGACAAAGAUCUGAUAAUAAUAAUGGAAAAUAAAUUGCCAAUUGAUGACUUUCGUGUUUGACUGAAAAUUGUUAAUGAAACGACUUUUGGUGUUUGCUAAAACUUGUUAUAUACGUGUUUUUAAGCCAUUCCAAACGACCUUUCACUUACUGAAAGUUUUUAAGCCAUUCCCACGCGGUUCCAUCAUUCCCUUCCGAAGUCUUCGUCAAGGCUUAUCUCUUCUUUGCAUGAACGCGUCCUUUUGGAAUUUUAUUUGCUUCUUUCCUAAAAUUCUUUCGUCUUCUUUAAACUCUCACUUGAGUGAUAUGGUAGGUUGUAGUUUUUUAUUUAACUUGCUUAAUCUUUUAAAUAGGUUAGUGAAAUUUUAAAGAAUCAAAGUCUACUCAAAAGAAGCUGAAGUAGGCAGUCCGAAAUUUUACAAAAUUCGCGACAAAUUAAUGCACCAACUAGACUCCAAAACAACAUAAUUUUAGUAACAAAACUUGGUGGCCUAAGUCAGAAAGUAGUAAGAAUAAAGACUUGGUGGUCUAAGUCAGAAAGUAGUAUGAAUAAAGACUUGGUGUUCCAAGUCUAAAAGUAUUAUGUUUGAUUUAACCCAAAAAAAAAAGUGUUAUAUUUAAUUAGAUUCCCCCCGUUAGUAGUGUGAGUAAAAGAGAUGGCUUCAAAAACUUUUUUGAUCCUUAUAUGGGGGACUUGACUAAAGUGCUCAUUAUUAAUGGCUUUGAGAAAGAAAGACUUGUUCUAUAUAUCCCUCUUAAUUUGGACAGUCUUACAUCAACAACUUUCCAUUUUUUUAUCCUUCCCGUGAGUUUCAUUGGCAUAGAAAAGAAGUUAAAGUAGUUUGAACUUUUACUAAAUUAGUCACAAGUUCGCGCAACUUUCAACUUUUUUUAUCCUUCCCAUUGGUUUCAUAGCGUGUAAAAGAAUUUGAAAUAGUUUGAAAUUUUUCUAAAUUGGCCUCAAAUUCAUGCACCUACUAGAUUCCAAGACAGUAUCAUGAGGCUCUCAAUAACAAAACUUGGAGCAUGCUCUAAGUGAACUAUAAUUAAUUAAGAUUAUUCCUCCUUGAUUUCGAAAGGUAGUAUUGAUCACGCUUACAAGAAUAUUAUACAUAUUAAUUUGUAGUCCACUGGUUAAGAAGUAAUGGAAGGUCUAACAACUUACUUAACAAACUGAAACAGAGUCGAAACAGGGAAGAAAAAUUAAUUGCAUUUUGUGUCAAUGACUAACUGUGUUCUAGCUCGCUGUUACAUCUCAUUGAACUAUCUUUUCACAUGAAUAAAUUACUGUCAAAAUGGUUACCAGUUGGAUAUAGCUUCAGCUUUAGUCUGGUUUGUGGAAAUUGAAAAAUUAAAAAAUGCUUCUCUUGAAAAAUCAAAGUCUACUUUAUACGUAAAGAAAGGGGAUGAUCAAUAAAGAUAUCCCAUCAAUGUUCAAUUACUUUCGAGUAUGUUGAUUUUUUCAUGAAGAGAGACUUCUAUUACCUCGAAGGCCUAGUCAAGUGAUUUAUGGAUAAUUUUAUUUGAUUAAUCUCUCGAGUUCGAAUUUAAAGAAUAUGAGAGAAUAAUAUUUUAAUUGAAAUCCCCUCAUCCAAUUUUUUCUUUUAAAAAAAAAAAGAAUUAAUUUUGUGGAAAUUUUUUCAUUUUGUGAAAACAAAAGUAAUUAAUUUUGUGUAAAACGGAACCAAGCUGCUAUUAAACUUAAAAUCAAUCUCAACGGUGAUUCCCCGUCAAACACGUCGUCAAAUUCCCCUCUUCAAAGGAUCCCACUAUGACUUUCAACUUUCUUAAUCGAUCUUCCCAUGCAAGGAUUCCACACACCAGCUAAAUUCCAAAACAAGACUUUGUGCUAAUCAACAAGUAUUAUGUUAUUAACUAAUUACACCCCGUUCAACUUGUAUAAAUAGUCAUAUCUCUCUUCUUGAGAUUUCAUUAACCGGCAAAUGCAAAAAAGGGGGUUAUUUAACUCAGCCUUAUCAACUUUUGAUUUGCCUCCAGUUAUUGCUCUUGUAUUCUCAGUGUUCAGCAAUAAUUUGCUCGACCAAAGUUUUGCUUUACUGAUUGGUAUUCCUGGGAUGGAGUAACAUGUGAUUCGCCGACGGGUCGCGUGAUUGGCCUCGACCUCAGUUGCAGUUGGCUUCAUGGCAACAUCACUUCCAACAGUAGCCUUUUCUUUCUUCCUCGCCUGCAAAAGCUCAACCUGGAUUUCAGUGAUUUCAAUUACUCUAGUAUUUCUUCUGGUUUUAUCAAUCAAUUUCCGAGCUUGACGCUCCUUAAUCUCUCUUUCAGCAAUUCCAUGAGGUCAAUUCCUGCGUCACUGGGUAAUAUUACACAACUUGCUUCCUUGGAUCUUUUAGAUAACAAAUUUAGUGGUCACAUCCCAUCAUCUUUUUCAAAUCUUCAGUGGCUUCAUUUAGAUCUUUGGCACAACAUAUUUAUUGGUAAAAUUCCGUGGUAGGAUUCCUAAUUGGAUGUGGGAUAUGGGAGUACAUACUUUGAAUUUCACAAAACUUCUUGACAAUUAUAGAACAUCUUUCACAAAAUUUAGUGGUCAUAUUCCAUCGUCUUUUUCAAAUCUUCAGCGGCUUCAUUUAGAUCUUUGGCACAAUAUAUUUGUUGGAAAAAUAUAGAACAUCUUCGGUGGAAAAAUCUCCAAUAUAUUAGCCUUGAUUCGAACUUGCUUCAAGGAUCGCUUACUUGAUCUACCACUUCCACCACCUCUCAUGGUGUUCUUUUCGGUUUACAAUAAUAAUUUGAUUGGAGAGAUUCCUUGAUCAUUUUGUAAUUUUACCAAUUCAUCCUUACUUGUCCAACGAUAGCUAAUUGGGUGCACCAAUUCUACAGUGUCUUGGAAACUUUACACUUGGGCAUUUGGAUCUUAGAAUGAACAAUCUUCAUGGUAGGAUCCUAGAAGCGUAUGCAAAAAACUGUAAUUUGUCUGCUUAGGCUAAAAGACAAUCACUAGAAUGGACCAUUGCAACCAUCUUUGAUUAAUCGUACCGGUUUAAUGUUUAUGGAUGCUCGGAAUAACAACUUGAGCAGCCCAAUUCCACAACUUCUUAGAAACUCAACACUUACUAGGGUCUUGGAUAUGAGAAUGAGUGGAUUUGAGGCAGCAUCCCUCAAAUGUUUGCAAAUGUUUGCAAAGAGUUGUGAUUUGAGAAGUCUUAACAGGCAACCAAUUAGAAGGAUAUUGCCCU
rnacentral:lncRNA from 1 species